UUUGUCCCUUUUUAUAAGACUCUUUUUCUAUUUUCAACUACAUUAAUUAUUUCUUUACAUACAUGUCUCUAUUUAUUAUACAUAUUUUUCUUCGAUCAGCAACAAAUAACAUGUUGAAAACAUAAACCAUCUAUCUCUCUUAAAGGAUAAAAUUAUAAAAACAAUAGUAAUUACAAACAUAUUUAAUACAAAUAUCCACUAUCUUAAUUUUCAUUAUUUUUUUCAAAAGGAUCUUAUAAUUAAGAACGGAGGUAUUGUAUUGAUUCAAUCAUUCUUUUUUGUUAAAUAUUAAAUCCGACUAUUCAAUUUUGUACUGUAAUUUAUAUUUUACACCACGGUUUACACGUGACAAGAAAACCAAACAAAUACAAUAGACAAACACUUUUUCUUUGUUCAAAGGAAUAUGGAAACAUUGCAUCGUUUUUCUGUUUGACCAACUAUGAUUUUGUUUUAAUAAAAAAUGAUGGAAUUGAUUAGUUUAAUUGCUCAUAAUGAAAUGAUUUGUUGUUAAAGAGUCUCACCAACAAAAGAUGAUAUAAACACGUGUUUAUAAAUGGGGACAAUUCUCGCCUUACAAAUCAGUUUUGUUGGGUUGUGUUAUAAGCGGUGGCGAACUCAUGAUACAUAGCUCAUAGGCGGGCUACUUCACCACUAGCCUGGAUGUUUAUGCUUGAAAUCUUUUUUUUGAAGAAGCUAAAUAGCCCAUUCAAAUUGACACCAGUAAGAAUCGAACCUGAAACUUUAAGGAGGAGCAUAGAUGCCAAGUUAAUACCACCAAGCCAACUCAAGUGGGUUAUUCAUGCUUGAAAUCUAAAUGCAAAUGUUAAUAUAUAUAUAUAUAUAUAUAUAUAUAUAUAUAUAUAUAUAUUAAAACUCGGUAUCCGAUCCAAGGAUCGACUAAUCUGAGGGGACCAAUCCCACCGCCCACUUGUGUGGGCCCCUUAUAAGUCAGAGCUGCUCUAUAUGGACUUGUCCACCGAAAUUGGUACCAACGGAAUCAAACUUGAGACCUUGAGAGGAGCACACUUCAAGAUCUCAAGUCAACCACUAGGUCGACACCAAAUGGAUUCAAAUGUUAAUAUAUAUAAUAUAACUUUUAGGUAAAAAUGUAUAUACAUACCUAUUAAAAAUAAAAACUUUGAGACUCUCGGGAGGUCAUGGCCCUCCCAUGUCCCCCUUGACUCCGUCUCUCAUUAUAAGGUUAGAAGUGUCUUCUCGUUAUAAAUUUUUAUCAAAAGCCAUAUCAAUCAAAUAUGAGAUUUGGGGUUUUUUCAAUAUUUGUGGUGUUAUUUUAUUCAAUUAUUCCUUAUUUGAAAUUUAUCUUUUUCCUUCGAUAGUUGUUUGAUCUUCUGUGAAAUCAGUUAAAUAAAUGGAUUUUUUAUUUUUUUUGUAAAAACUAAAUAAAUGGAUUUUGUCAACAAAAGAAAAACUAAAUAAAUGAAAAUAUGACAUAAUUUCUUUUGCACCCGAGAAUAUGGCAUAAGUCUCGUUAAAUUAAGGGUUAAACGUAUUUUUUAUCCUUAUAAAUUUUUUAAAUUUUAAGAUUGGUGACAACUAGGGUACCCAUGGAAGAAUGGUGGGAAAUUUACUCCAACCAACGAACAUUCACCGUUUUAGAUGGUAUCCAUAAACUACCUUGACCCCACCAACAAAUUGCUCAUUAAGAUUGGUUGGUGGGUAAAUUACCCACCAUUUUUCAAAGGUAAUCUAAAAAAACCUUUAAGAUUUAGCCCCUGUUUUUAUUUCGUCUUAAUUUCAUAAGGGAGAGUCUCUUUGCAAAACACAAUAAGUUAGCUCAUACUUAUAAGCUCAUAUAACUAAAAACACCAGUUAUAUGACUGCUAAUUUUUUUGAUUUGGUCAAAUAUGUUUUUUAUCCUUACAUUUUGCGCUCCUUUGAAAAAUAGUCCAUACAUUUCAUUAAAUAUUUUUAAAAUCCUCGCAUUUUAUCUCCGUUAUCAAAAUUAGUCCCUGCUGUUAAUUCUCUAAUGGAAUGCUGAUUUGGUCCCUACAUUUUGCAUGACUUUUAAAAAUAGUCUUUGCAUUUCAAUAAAUGUUUUCAAAAUCCCUAAAAUAAUAAGGACUAUUCUCUAAUGGAAUGAUGUUUUGGUAAAAUAUUAGCGGGAUAGAGUAACAUAUUUAUAUUAUUUUACGGAAACAAUUUCAUUUAAAAGUGAAACAAAUCGGUUGCAACAACAUAACCAACAAAAGAGGAAUUUCCUCAAUCCAAACCGAAUCAAUUGAAACUAAAGCAAACUUAGCUAGAGCAUGAGCAACAUCAUUAUCAACUCUUCAUACAUGAAAAACUAAAAAUGAAGAAAGCAAACAACUAAGAUUUUAAUCACCAAACCAAAGUAAAAAUUAUCAUCGGUAGACGACUUCAUAGUCUUCACCACAUUAAGACUUAAGAGAAACACCUUCCACAAUAAUGUUUUGAAAAUUCAUAUCAUAGGCAAAUUGAAUUGCAAACUAAAAUCUAUGAGCUUCAACAAUGUUAUCAUCAAGAAGUGCCUCAAAGUUUCAUACAGCAUCCGCUAAAAUAAAAUUUUAUGAGUCUCUAACUAUAGCUCCUAUUCAGAUGCAUCAAUGUUCAAUUUAAAAGAAGAUGUGGGAGAAGGAUUUCAGUUAGAGGGAGAAAAUACAGAAAUAGUUGACUUCAUAUCAAUACGAGUAUCCACAAGUCCUUUAUAAUCUUUUUCAUAAAAAUUAAUUACUGAACCAGCUGAUAAAUAUAAAAUAUCAAAGAAUUUAUUGAAAAUUUCUUUAAAAAAAAGAAUAUAUUAAAAAUUAAUAGUAAAAAUUCUAAUCAAGAAAAUAAGUGAAAAAUAAGUAUGAGUUAUGAAUGUAAAAACUAUUUGAAAUAGCAUAUUAAAAAGUAUAUAAACUUGUGAGAAAAUAAUUGUUACUUACGCAACUAUAUUUUGAUCAUACAAGUUUAUAUGAUAUAAACUACUGUAUUUGUUUAACAUUGCCAAACAGAACUUAAAACUUAAUUGAUUGAAAAAGACUGAAAUGAUAAAAUAUCUAUAUAUUAUAUUCUAUAUAAUUUUUUUAAAAAUAUUGAUAACGUCAAAAACUAAAUUCACAACAACUAGCUAUUUCAAGAAUCUGUCCAAAAAAUAAAGCUAUUUGAAGAAGUAAUUAUAGUUACCCACUCUUUGUUAAUUAAGUAACCAAACAGCACGCAAACACAAAUGAAAAAAGUCUUUUAAUCCAAGUUUUCACUUCACCAUGACACUUUUCUUUUACUCAUGUGGCAAUAUGGCCUACGGCACUUGCAUUAUUUCAAUCACAUUUAUUACAGACAACAACUUUGUCUUGGAUUUGUCCUACAUAGACAAAUGAAUUAUUGAUGCAUUUUUUCAUUCAUUACCUCAUCCUUAUGAAUAUACCAGCACAUGCAGAAUUACAGAUCCAGAUUCGAAUCUCAGCGAAAACAUGUCAAACAAUAACUAGCGGCUAAGGAGAAUAUAGUUUCUUCUUUUUUUAAGGAUAAAAAGAUAGCUGUCUUCAUGAAUGCUGCUACCAAACACCAAACCAAGCAGAACACUCAGAACUUAUAGACAAGAUAACUUACUAACUUUACAAGUCACCCUUAAAUAAACUAUAUAAGACCAUUUACAAUGGUAAAAUAUAUUCAACAAUCCUCAACAUCCACUUUUUCAAUUUCCAAAACUCCACAUCAUUUUCUCUCUCUUAAUUCAAUACCUAUUCAAUUUUUACCUCUCCAAUGGUUUUUUCAUUCAACAUCCUACCCCACCAUAUUUUAUUUCUUAUUCUUAUUUAAUUUUAUAUUUUUUUUUAUAAUUACAUAAAAUUACAAUUAUCGAUUAUAAUUAAAUUAAAAUGAAGAAACACUUAACAAUUUUUAUUUUUUUGUAAAAACAAAAUUUAUUUAAAUAAUUUAUUUAUAUUUUCUUAACAUAAAUAAAAUGCAAUACAACAAACUAAAUAAACACUAAAACUUCAAAAGAAAGGCUAAUACAAAGCUAAUAAUAAGAUUAAGAGAGUGAAAAAUUUGAUUUUUUUUCUGUGUCCAAAUCAAAUGAUCCAAGUCUCUAUUUAUAGAGAAAAAAAAAUUACGAAUUUUGGUAAAAAAGAAAUAAAAAUAAAAAUUUAUUUGCAAUAAAAUAAUUGGGUCCAAAUUAUUAAGAAGAUAAAAAUCCGAGCAGCCAAUCAGCGCGCGCUAAGUAUCUCCAUGGGCCAGACAUUCAACAUGUUGAAUUGUUUCAACACUUCCCUCCUCCAACUCACUUUUUCCCCAUUUCAACACCUCCCACCUACAAUGGUUCAACAAAGGUUCAACAUGUUGAAUGGCAAAUUCAACAUGCUAUUGUAAAUGGUCUUUGAUGGCUCUGGUCUCUGGAUAGAACCGAACCCACUCGUUGUGAUCUUAAUCCACUUUCCUAUCUGUCACAUAAUAUUAAAAGAGUCUCACAUUUUUUUAAAAUUUGAAACUAAAAGUAAUUUACAACUUCACACUCCCCAACCUAAGGAAGUAGUUAAAUCCAUAAAGAAGUGUAAUAAUCGGUACGUCCGAAACACUCCUUUGCCUUAUAGGACACUGAUUAAUAAAGUCAAAAAAUAUAUGUUUUAAAUUAAAAAUAAUUUUUUUUACACUUUCGAAAAGUUAAUUAUGCAAGAUUCAAUAAAAUAGUAUUAUAUAUAUUUUUUUAAUUAGUAUUUCGAUGACACCGGUUAAUAUUUCUCAUAAAUAAACCGUGAGAGCUUGCAAAAUAUUAAGAAACUAUACUUUAAAAAACACAAUCAUUUGAUAAAAUUGACUAACGUUACGAUAAAAAAAAUUAAAUAUUAAUUAACUACAUAGUUUAUGUUUAUAAGUUAACUGUAAUUUUUUUUUAAAUGCUUCAUAUUUAAAUUUGCUAGUUUAUUCAUCAUCAACUUCUCUAUUCGUAUUCCCUAAAAAAAAAAACUGUAUUCAUAAUUUUUUUUUUGUUUACAACUUACAAUUCGUAUCAAAUUAUAAGUAAAUGAUAGAAAGUUGCUACUUACUCUUAGCCUAGCACUCAUUUUGCUGGUUAAGAUUCAUUGCAAUUUUAAUAAACUCCAUUUUAAUUAAUUUUUUUUUUUAAAAAGUAAAUGAUAGAAAGAGUUAAACAUUUUCUGUCUAAAUUUUAAAUGAGGUAUGUUUGAUUUUUAUUUUUUUAUAAUUAAUGAUGUUUACAUUUUAUGAGUUUAAUUAAUAUAUUAUAUCAGUGUAUAAUUAUUUUACACAUAUAUUUAAUAAAACAUGGUCUGUUAAUUAAUCAAUAUGACAACUCAUGUUUCUUUUUUUGAAGUAACAACAACUUAUGUGUUAUUGUAUACAUUAAUCAACGUGAAAAUGCAUUAUUAAAUAGAUGAGUAAAAUAAGUAUACUCUCAUAUAAUAUAUAUAUUAGUUAAAUUUAUAUUUUAUUUUAAGUAUUAUUCAAAUCGUCUCAUAAGUCCUAACUCAAUUAGUAAAACUGUCGAAAUUGUUAGACCAGAUAUCAUGACCGAGGUUUAAACCGCGAUACCUCCAUUUUAUGUGUGUAAGUUUACGAUGACUUUGUCAUCUCGUCUAUAAAAAAAAAAGUAUUAUUCAAAUCAUUCAUUAUUAAUAAUUUCUUAUGUCAUGUUCUACAAACUACUCAUUCCGUCCCGUAAUAAUUGAGUUAUUUGUAAAAAAAUAUUAUCGCAUAAAUCUUGACUCAUUUCAGUUUUCAAUAGAACAUUAAUUACUUUUUUCCAACUAUAACUCUAAUUAAUACUACUUUCACUACUUCCAAUUCAAUAUAUUCUACUUGAUAUAUAAAGAAGAAUGCACCAAUACUUGAUAAAGAUUCUCAAAACUAUUUUUCUUUUUCUUUCAUUUAUACAAUUUUUUUAAUAUGUGUGAAAAGCUCAAUUAAAUUUGGAUGAGAGGGAGUACCAUUUAUGUUUACUAAUAAAUAAACUAAAAAAUUAGGUACCAUUUAGAGCAUGACACAAUGGUUAAUACUCAAGAUAUAUACGAUGUUCCUGUCCUUUGGUUGGUAGACCUAAUAUAUAUGAUGUUUAUGAUCCUUUGGUUGGUAGAGAAUGAAUAUUCGGCCGGGUAUGUAAUAUUUUCAAUUUUACUGUUAUUGUUUAGUUCAGUUUUUUAGAUGAGGUGGGAGGAACUAAAUUUCUCUUAGCCCUUUAUAAAAAAAGAAAGAAAGAAAGAAAAUAAGUGGACAAAUUAGUUUGGAAGGAGGAAACUAUUUGUAUAUACUGAAUUUUUUGUCUACUUACUAUAUUAUAAAAUUAAAUGUCUAUGAUUUUAUAAUUUUGCCCUUAAAAGGGGCAUUUUUGUAAUUUCCUAUUGAUGGGUGUGGUUAUUGCCACCUCAUCAUUUUUAGGGUGCAUUUUCCAUUUUGCCCCUCAUCAUUUUUUUUAAUUAUUUUAUAAUUUUAAUAACUUUUAACUAUUUUCCAAUUUUUAUUUUUUAACUAUUUUUUAAUUUUUUCACCCAAAUUCAGUUACUUCUACAUUGCCGUUGUGAGAAAUUAAGGUAUCGUUUUUUUUCCAACUUCUCUACAUUUUUAAGGAGAAGUUAGGUCAAACACACUAUCAAUUAUUUUAAUUUCAAUAUUGUUUAAUCAUCACAACCUCACAAAUAUUUUUAUUCACGCUGUCAUUUAAUGAUGUCAAAUAUUUUUAUUUCCUUUCUUAAACCUCACGAAUAUAUAAACACACACAUAUUAACGUUUAAAGUAAUAUUUUAUGUCUGUCUGUCUGUUUUUUGUUACGUUAAUGUAGAGCUGUCAAAACGGGCGGCCCUGCCCGGCCCGUUCGGGCUUUUAAGGGCCGGGCUAAAAAGCCCGGUUUGAAUAUGGGCUGGAAAAAUAGAGCCCGAGCCCGGCCCUUUACGGGCUCCCGGGCUAACGGACCAGCGCAGGCCCUUUUUUUCAUUAUUUAAGGAUUGAAAAUAUAAUAACAUAAAUGUACACAAAAUUUAUAGUGAACAAAAGAUAAAUUAAGUUUGGUCCAAGAGAAUAACAAUUAUCCAUACUAACAUAGUAACAUUAACAUAAUUGUACACUAAAAAAAUAUAUUUAUUAAAUUCAUUUGCUAAUCUGUAUAGUUACUAUAUAUAUAAUUUUUUUAGGGAACAACAUAGUCACUAUAUUGUCUUGCAAGAUCCACAUAUAUGAUAUAAUUAAUUAAUUAGCUAAUACAUGUAAAAAUAAAUUAAAAAAAGAAAGAAAGAUAAAGCGUACUAAACUGAGUUAACAGUGAGGAAAGGAAAUCACAAUGCAACCAUAAACAAAAGGGUUUCAUAAGUGGGGAAUAAAAGCAUAACAUUUUUAACAUCAUAGGAGAACAAGAGUUAAGAAACAAUGAUGAAACACGACCACUUUGAUUUUUGUUUUUCCUUCAUUUUAAUCAGAAGAAGUAACAAAAUUUCGGUCAAAAAAAAUAAAUUAGAAGUAACAAAACAUAUGAACAUAAGUAUAUACAAUUUUUAGAAGAGAGAAUGACUUAAAUACCAAAUGAACAUAAUUAUUUGGGCUGUCCGUCCAGUCCCGUGUAAAAAAUAAUGCAUUUUUUUUGCGGGCUGCUCUUAGCCCUAACGAGCUUCGGGCUUUUUCGGGCCGGGCUAAAAAACCCUGAAAAAAUUCGGACUGCUAUUUAUCGGCCCAGGCCCUACAUUUUAUUCGGACAUUCGGGCUGGCCCGUAAGACCCGAUCCAUUUUGACAUCUCUACGUUAAUGCAUAUAAUUUUUUUUAGUGUUGCUUGGUUGAGUGCCUACCUCACCAAUUUUCAUAUUUUAUAAAUUUUUGACUAUUUUUCAAUUUUUUUACUUUUAACUAUUUUCUAAUUUUUUUUCUCCCAAAUUCAGUUGCUUCUACACUGUCGUUGUGCCAAACGGUUCCGACUUUUUUUCCAGCUUCUCUCAAUUUUUAAGGAGAAGCUAGACCAAACACAAUAUUAAUAAAGUACCUUCGAAAAAAAGUACUUUUUUAGAAUGCAUAAAAUUGAAUGGAAUGAGCUUUAACCAAAAAUUGUUGAAUGCUACUUCAAAAAACUAUUUCUCCGUAAUUUAUUUCACAAGCACCUCUCUUCAACUCACGCAUGCAACCUUUUAUUUUAUUUUUUAAUAUUAUAUUUCAAUUUGUUUUUUUCCUUCCAUUUAAUGUUUUUUUUGAACCGGUCCAUAUAAUUUUUUUUAAAGGAGGAUCAAUUUAAUUUUAUUAUUUGAAGAAAUUUUAUUAUCUUUUUAUCACUUAUAUAUUUAAUUUUAAUAUCUUUUAAUUAUCACAACCUCACAAAUAUUUUUAUUCCUUUUCUUCAACCUCACAAAUAUACACGCACACACAUUAGCGUUUAGAGUAAUAUUUUAUGUCCAUAUGUCUGUUAUUUUGUUACGCUAAUGCGUGUAAUUUUUUUAGUGUUGCGUAAUGCGUAUAAUUAUUAUUUUUAUAACAUUUUGAUUUUAAUUAAAAGUAAAAGUAUAGAUGCCUAAAAUAAUUAUACUUAUAUAUAUUUUACACAUUUAUAUUGUAACAAACUAUGCAUAUCUUUUUCUUAUUAAAAAAACUAAACAUAUCUUUUUCAACGACACCAGCGAUGUAAUAAAUAUAAUAUCAUAUAUAUCAUAUAAUAUAAUAUAAUAUGAAUUCUUAUCUUUUUAAAUGACACCAAAAAUAUGGUAUUCUUAUAACAAAAUUUGUUAUACAGUAUAAUUGGAAAAGAAAAAAUAAACUAUUCUCUACCUUAGCUCAUUUGAUAUAGACAAUGCAUAAAUAUAUGCAAGGUCGCGGGUUCGAACCCCAGGCACCAUCAAAAAAAUAAUAAAUUCAAAGUUUUGUAUAAUAUUUUGCCAAACACCUUUUAACUUAAAAAUAACUUUAGAACUAAAAAAAAUAAAGAAACCAAACAGCUUUAGCUUUUUUCUUAAAGAGCUUUAUUUUAACUUUAUUUUAAAGUAGCUUUUAGACCGAAAAAAAGUCUGGCCAAACAGUACCUAAGAUAUUGUUUGACCCGAUGUUUUUUCAACUUCUCUACAUUUUUAAGGAGAAGUUAGGCCAAGUACAGUAUCAAUUAAGUACUUACUAAAAAAGAUACUUUUUUUUAAUGCAUGAAAUUGAAUGGAAUGAGCUUUGGCCAACAGUUGUUGAAUGUUACUUCAAAAAACUACUUCUCGACAAUUUAUUUCACAAGCAUCUCUCUUCAAUUCAUGUUGGGAACCUUUUCUUUUAUUUUCUAAUAUUAUAUUUCAUUAUAUUUUUUUCUUCCAUUUAAUUUUUUUUUAGCCGUUCCAUUUAAUUUUUUUAAGGAGGUUCCAUUUAAUUUUAUUACCUUUUUUUUCAAAGAAACUUUAUUAUCUUUUUAUCACUUAUAUAUUUAAUUUAAAUAUCGUAUAAUCAUAACAACCUCACAAAUAUUUUUAUUCACUUUAUCAUUUAAUGAUACAAAAUAUUUUUAUUUUCUUUCUUCAACCUCGCAAAUACACACACACACACACACAUAUUAACGUUUAGAGUAAUAUUUUAUGUGUGUCUGUUUUUUUGUUACGCUAAUGCGUUUAAUUUUUAUAAAAUUUUGAUAUGAAUUAGAAGUAAAAUUGUAGAUGUCUUUUCUUUAAAAAAGGUAUAAAUGCCUAAAAAAAUUAUGCUUAUAUAUAUAUAUAUAUAUUGCACCUUUAUAUCGUAACAAACUAUGCAUAUCUUUUUCAUAUUGAAAAAAACUGAAUAUUGCUAAAUAGAAAAGAUAUUAUUUUCCAUUUUGCCAACAUCAGAUGAUAGGAUUUUGUAUAAGUUUGAUAAUGACCCGAAAGAUGUCUUUCCUUAUGUAGUGGGAAUAUAGUUGAUGUAACACCAUGGAAAAAAAUACUUCGUAGCUUUAUCAUUUACUAUCUAUUUACCUUGUGUUCUUUGCUUCCAUUUUGUAGUCAAUGGCAACCCAAAUAUAUGUAACAAUUGGUGAGAAGUUUAAGACUUAGUAAGUUUACAUUAUGAGUUCACAAUACAGUGUUAGAGUAACUUAUUAUUUCACAAUCCGAUUUGAUUGUUUUUUUGACCAUGUUUCUUGAAUUGUUGUCGUGACCUUAACACUUUUCAAGCUCAGAGUCAAAGCUUCAGUUAGAACUUAAGUCAGAGUUCGACUUCUCCUCUACGUACUUCGUACAACGAUUUUUCCAAACUGUCUCAGGUUAGGCCAAUUGCUGAAUUAUAAACUUAGUCAAUGUCUGCUUUUGUUAUGCACAAACAUGCUUUGAGUUUUUUUACGCACAAAUUAAAAAUACAUAUUGCAUUAUUCUUUAUUUUAUGUGCAUAAUUUGUGUUAGGAAACAUAUUUCUUCACUAUUUGGAAAACAACUAAAUUCAAUCCUAACCAGUUUGGAUUGUAUUAUGAGAGUUGCACCAAAUGUUUGAAGACAUCAAUGUCAAAUGGUGGUAGCUAUAUAUGCACAUGCGGAAGUGAUGCUUAAUUUCCAUUUGUUUGAACAAUGUUAAUUGGUCAAUGGGGUUCAUAUAAUGUACAUGCAUGCAUUUAUCUAGACUUUAUAGGAAGAUAAAUUAUAAGUCAUGCUACAUUUUUUUUAGCUUAAAAUCAGUUAUGGUACCUUUAUUUAAUAAAUUAUAUGUAACUAUAUUUGCAUACAUUUUAUCCAUGUAAAUAUGCAUUAGACUAAUAUUGCAGUUAUUUUCCUUUUUAGCAUUUCCCAAACGAGGUGUCAAGAACAAUUCUGAAAGGAAAGCGUAAAACAAUCACUCUCAUUGAUGACCAGAUAUAAAGACAGUAUAACUGUCACCUCAUUACCGCCAAUAGAGCAAGCUAUGAAAAUUACUUGGGUGGGCAGUGGUUCAAUUUCUGCAGAUAAUGAGUGAUGGAAGAAGGUGGUAAGCUCAUCUUUGAUCUCGAAAAUUCACAGAAGAACUUGCAAAUUCGAGUUGUUCCAAAGUAGAUCUUUGUUGUUGAAUUAUUUAAACUUCUACUAUUUUAACAUAUCGCUUUGGACUGUAGUCGUAAACUAUCUUGACUUUGGGAUGUCAUUUGUUCUUUUCAUUUUUUCUGAUGUAAAUAUUGGCAAAAAUCCCAUUUUGGUUAGUUUAUGAAACUUGCAAUCUCUUUUAUAAACCUAACUAUUAUGUAACGUUAAUUUGCACAUUGUUGGUUCCUUCAUUGGUUCCAAUUAGUAUCAUGUUAAUUAUAAUGUUGUUUCCUAAUCUCUUGAACAAAAUAAAACAUGCUCUUUUCCUACAACAAAUCUUUAUAAUGUUUUGGUAAAUGUUUUAGAAAUGUAUAUAUAUAUAUAUAUAUAUAUAUAUAUAUAUAACUUCUAAUUAACACUGCAAUUUGUUUUGUACCUAGCACUUAUCAAAUGAGAUAUCAAUGACAUUUCUAAAAGGAACACGGAAAACAAUCACACUCAUCCACAAACAAACUCAAAAAGGUAUGAGUGUCGCUUGAUAACGACAAAGAGAGCAAGUUACAAAAAAUACUUAGGCGGUCAAUGGUUCAAAUUUUGCUGAGAACAUAUGUUAGAGGUAGGUGAUAAGUUAAUUUUUUAUCUAGAGAAGCCACCUAAAAAUAUGCACGUUCAAGUUUUUUCCAAAUAAAGAUUUGGUGUUCAUGAUCCGCACUUUCAACAAAUCACCUUAACUCUAAUCCUAGACUAGAUUAUCUUCACUCAUCGAUGCUACUUCUUUGCUUGAUUUCAUUUGAUGUAAAUAUGGGUAUCAAUCAUUUUUUGGUAACUCUAUAACAACAACACUCUUUUUUACAAUUUUGGAUAAUAUGUAAAUUCACACAUCAUUGGUUCCUUUAUUUGUUCCAAUUGUUUUCAUCCUAAAUAUUAUGUCAAUUCCUAAUCUCAUAAACUGUUUAUAUGCUCUCUUAAUUAUCCCAUACAUAUUUUAUGAUGAAUCACAAUGUUCCGUCAUUUUAGCAUCACUUCUUUUAAAGAAUUUUUUUUCAAAUACGUUAUUGAACCCGUGCGAAGCACGGGUUUGUAACUAGUUUAUAUAUAAAAAGUUACAUGAGAAUAAAAGUCAAAUGAACAACAAAAUUCGUCGUUAAUUAGCAUAUGUGUUUUAUAUUCAAUAAAUCUUUUGAUUAAAAUAACUAGAUAGAUGGUUAAAAGAAAAAAGAUUUAUACCAAACAAAAUAUCUCUUGAAUAAAAUAAUGUGAUGGAUGGUCAAAAGAACAAUAAUUUUAGUUAUUUAUGUGGGAGAGUAACAUAAAUGAUAUACUAAAUACAAUAAUACAUAUUAAAAAAUAAAAUAAAAUAAUACAGGUUGUCAAAAGAUACAAUAGAAAUAUAGAACAGACAUAAAUAAUUUUCUUGUUCAUAAAACAUCAAUUAUUAGACUGAAAAUUUGUAAAGAAAAAAUACGAUUUUUUUUUUUUUUAUAACGAAAAACUUAAUAAGUUAAAUUAAACAUCAAUAAUUGAGAAAACCUGUCCCUAUUAUUUCAUACGUCAUAGUGAUAGGACAUAUAUAAAUAAAAUAACAACACAUAUUGUGCUAUGCACUUAUCAGUAUCACCUAUCUGCACAGUUUGGCUAUCAUUUGUUCACAUGUUCGUCCUUCGACCCAUAAAAUAAUUGAGAAAUAACAAUUUUUUGGCUUAUUAUUUAUAGGGUUAAAUAUGUAUUUGGUCCCUAUAAAUAUAUCAAUUUUUCGUUUUAGUCCCUCUAAAAUUUUCCUUCGAUUUUUAGUCCCUAUAAAAUUUUCAAUCUUCAAUUUUUGUCCCUCUUUUAAAGUAAACUCAUAUGUAAAAUUCAUAUUAUUUAAUAAAAAUUUCCAGAAAAAUUAAAAAUAUUAUAAGAAUCACUCCAAAAAAAAUUCAGAAUUUUUUAACAAAACAUGAAUUUAAUAUGAAUUUAUAUAUUGUUUACGGUUAAAAAUUCAUAUUUAAUUUGUGUUUUGUUAAAAAAUUCUAAUUUUUUAAAGGAAAUUUUUUUAGAAUAUUUUACACAUUUCUGCAUAAUUUCAUUAAAAAAUAGAAAAAUUAAAUUAAAAAUAGGGACCAAAAGUAGUGAUUGAAAAUUUUAUAGGGACUAAAUGUUGAAGGAAAAUUUUAGAGGGACUAAAACGAAAAGUUGACAUAUUUAUAGGGACCAAAAACAUAUUUAACCCUUAUUUAUAUUAUAUUUUUACUUUAUCUAUUUAUUAUUUUGGUUUUUGUGCUCAUAUCUUUUUUUACUAUAAAUCUACAAGAGAUACUACCCACAUCUCAAAUAAUCUAAGUUACAUCCCAAAAUUACUAAUACACCCUUUAAUUAAAAUAAAAAUUUCAAUUCAAUUCAAAACCCACACAACACAGUCUAUGUAUUAUCUUCAAACAAAAAAGUUCACGUAUCCCCUCAAACUCAGAAAGAAGCCAAUCACGUCUUCAUCUCCUUCCUGUCAAUCGCGCCUUCAUCUCCUUCAUGUUCACGUGUUCACCCACAUAAGUAAACUAAAGUAAAUUCAUUUUACGUAGUUUAUGUAAACUGAGUUUACAUACACUAUGUAAACUAAGUUUACAUAAGUUAAGUAAACUAACAUAAAUUGAGUUUAUGUAGUUUAUGUAAACUGAGUUUACUUAGUUCAUGUAAACUCAGUUUAUGUAGUUUAUGUAAACUGAGUUUACAUGCACUAUGUAAACUGAGCUUAAAUAAGUUAAGUAAACUAACGUAAACUGAGUAUACGUGUAUGUUAUUCCUUUUUAGAAUAGGCACGUAAACUAAAUUUACAUGAGACCUGUGUAAACUUAAAUUACGUUACGCGUCUACGUAAACUAAAAUCACGUUAUACCGUGGAACAAAAUAGAUAAACGUGAAAUUAACAACGUCAACAAAGAUAAACAUCCAUGGUAAAAUUAACAACAUCGAAUAAAUCAUAGAGCAAAUGAUAAUAGAAACUCAUAAGAAAUUUAUCAAAUUCACUUACUUGUAUGAAUCGAGUACGUAUCAAUGGAAGAGAUGUUGAUUCAAUUGGCGAUUUUAGUAGGUAUUGAUUGCAUAUCCACGGUGGUUUCUGGGUGAAAAGGAUAAAGGUUACAAGUGAUAAUAAAAAAAAAUUAAGAAGUUUACAUGGAGAGGGCAUUUUCGAUAUUAUUGUAAAAUUUUUUAAAAAAUUGGGUGUAACUAGAACUAUAUGGGGUGACACUAAAAAAAGUACAAAUCUAUAGUUGUUACAUAAGUUGUCGUACAAAUAAUUGUUCAAAUAACAUAUUUUAAAGUAAUUAUCAACUAAAAAAAAUGUUUUUGAAUGCGGAAGAAAAUAUAAAAGGAGCUACUCCAUAUUGUACCGAUUUCAUAUUUUCAAACCUAACACCAGAACGACUAUCUUGAUAGCUCGUUUUUUUAAGGGAUCAUGCUAACUUUAAGGCACAAAUUAAGAAGUUAAAAUUGAAAUUAAAACAUAAUUUUGUCUAGAGAAGUUAAGAUUUUAAAUUUUUAAAAUAUGAAAUGCACAAUUUUUAAUAAAAUAUUUAUAUCUUUAGUUUCUUAACUUUAUUUUAAUCAUUUUAUAAUUUUUUUUAUAUUUUUUUGGUACAUAAAUAAUAUUGAAUUACAUUGAUGACACAUUUUAUUUGAUUAUACAUAGUCUUUAAAAUCUAUGCAGGUUAACUAAAUAGUUUCAACAAUCAAUUACAUAUUUCGGUCACUAAUAUAAGCAAAAGUCAACAUUUUAGAUUUAUUUAUUAAAUGAUGUAUGUGAUUUAUAAUAAAUACUAUAUACAUCAUUAAUUAAACGAAUAUAAAAUGUAAAUUUUUAUUUAUAAUAGUUAUAGGAGGGUAUAAUUAUAGCAUUGAUGUCAAAAAGAGUUUUUCCUUUUUCACAAUAUUUUUGUUUUUAUUCCAUAGGGACCAUUUGUAAACACAAUUUGCCAAAAAAAAAACACAAUUUGCCAAUGCCAGGUAAGCAAUAAAUUGGUUCAUUUCAUGCCUCGGUUUCUUAUCAACUCUCUGACUUUUUUUUGUCUAUUAAUAAAAUUAACAUAACUAUUAAUUUAGGCUGCCAUAGACGAAAAUUAUCUAUACAACCCUUAUUUACAAAGAAAAAUGAUAUUUGUACAACCAUUUUCUAACAAUUUUUUUACACUCAUACUUACAUUAUCUUUUUAUUCUCUCUCUUCAUUUUUUUAUCUCUAUUAUCUUUUACCAAUCAAAUGAGAGACAAUUAAAGUUGUCAUAGAAGUUGUACCAAAGAGUUGUACAUAUAUUACUACUCUUUUACAAAUAUCUAAAGAGAAAUGAUAUUUGUACAAUCAUUUUUGUACAACUUUCUCUCUCAUACUCACAUUAUCUUCUUAUUCUCUCUCUUCCUUUUUCUCUCUCCAUUGUUUUUGACCAAUGAAAAGAGAGCACAACAAGGUUGUCCCAAAAAUUAUAGCAAAAAAAUUGUUCAAAUAUCAUUACUCAUAUCUAAAAUAAACAAGAAUAAUGACAUCUACAGAACAAUUUUUUACAACCUUUAAGAUACCUUCUUUCUCUUUUAACAACGUAGAGAUAAAAACAAAAACAAAAGUAAAAAUACAAUAUGAGAGUAACAAACAAUUGUACUAAACUCAUAUUCAUAUUGGAUGGUUCCUUAUUCGAGAAUUGACUCAAAUGGAGCCUCUUUAACUUAGUGGUAGAGUAACACUAUGGUAAAGCAUAAGUUGUCGGUUCAUAUCCGAUAAAAGUUUUUAUUCAAAAAAUAACAACAAUAGUGUUCUGAUUUGCAGAAAAAAUGGAGAUAUUUUUUUUUAUAUUUGUAAGAAGUAGCUCUUUGUAAAAAAAAACUAAGAUACAGUUGAAUUUCAUUAAAAGAUUGAAUUUUUAUUCUAUUAAAUUAUUGUUACCAUUUGAAUUUACAAAAAAAAAUUUAUUAGAAAGUUGUUGUAUAAAUAUCUCCAUAAAAAAAAGCAAGCAUAAGAGAAUUUACCAAAAAGUAAAGAGGGUGGAUAGAACCGUAGAAGACUGUACUUGAACGAUAAGAAGGAAAACGUUUCAAUAUUCUCCACGUCAGAUUGAGUUACAGGUGGUGUGUUUGUCUGACAAAAAAGAAUAUACCAAAAAAAUUAAGAAAAUACCAAAAGAAACAUGAUAAACACAAAAACUAAUUCAAGAAUCCUGUGUCACAAAUAAAUUAAUAAUAAUAUUUUUUUAAAAAUAAUAAUAAUAUAUAGAUCUUUUAUAAUUUUUUGACAAUAAUAAUGAAUCUCAAUGAUGAUGUUUUUUUUAUUGAUAAAUAUAUAUACAUAAGUAGCCGAGUAAACGGAACUCUGAAAUAUCACACGCAGAGACGAAGUAAGAGAUAUAUAUCAAUCAAUCUCUUCCUUCAUUUCAUUUCAUUCCCAUUUUGCAAACCAAAUUAUUGUCUUCUUUUAUUCACUAUUCAUCCAUCAUUUCUUCCCUUUCAAUCUCAAUUUUCAUUUUUUAUAUUUGAUUUGUUAUUAUAUUUAUCCCUUCACGCCAAAGUGAAGAAAUUAUCAAGAGCUUGUUCCUUUAUUUUCUGUGGAUUUUUUUUUUAACAUCACCCGAAAAUUCAGUUCUACCUGUCCGAAUUUUCUUCCUCACCAAACAGAACACGAGUCUUGGUUCUGUUUUUUGAACAAGAGAUUUUAUCGUUUUGAAACGUGUGAGAGUGUGUCAAUUCAAAGAACAAAAAACAUGGUUGAUAUGAAAAUGAGAUCCAUAUUAUGGAUGAUGUUGUUAUUGUUUGGUUCUUUUUUGAUUGUAUCUGGUGAAAGAAAGCUUGUGAAAAUACAACUACCAAGUUUUAAUGUUACUACUCAACCUCAAAAACAUGAACAAAGCUUUCUCACAAAAGCUGUUAAUUUCUUAUGGAAAUCAGAUGGAUCGGGUUAUCAACACGUGUGGCCGGUAAGAUUUCACUUUUCUGUUGGAUUUUAUGUCUUUGUUUUAUCUUAAAGUUGAAUCUAAAUCAAAAGAUAAAUAUUUAGUUUUAUUCCUUCAUUCUAUGGAUAUGUUUUUGUUUUUCACAUGUUUUUGUCAGUUAUUGUAACUUUGGGUAAUAUAAUAAAGUGCUUCUUUUGUUUAUUUGUAUUGUUGCAGGAAAUGGAAUUUGGGUGGCAAAUUGUGUUGGGUAGUUUUAUUGGAUUUUGUGGAGCAGCGUUUGGAAGUGUUGGAGGUGUAGGUGGUGGUGGCAUAUUCGUUCCUAUGCUCAGUCUUAUUAUUGGAUUUGAUCCUAAAUCAUCGACUGCUAUCUCCAAAUGUAAGACACGUGCUUACACGUUAUUCUCAAAAAUAAAAUAAAAAUUAUUACGAGUAGUAACUGUCUUUCUCUUGUCAAUUCUGAACCUUAGUACAAUUAACACUGCCGUUACUUUCAGAUAAUUAUUUCAACCACUUAACUGCCGGAAGAUAACAAGUACUUGAAUUAAAUGCUUAUCAAGGAAAUUAAAAACAGUACAUAGUACUUCAAAAUACUUUGUAUGGUCCAAAAUUGAACAUAAGAUUUAAGAUAAUUCACGUACAAAUAUACAUCAUUUAAUUAUUUAAAAAUAUAUAUUGUAUAAUUCUCUUAUCUUUUUAUGAAUGUGUCAAAAAAAAUUUUUGACCAGCAUAAGAGUUUCUCUAUGCUAAAAUUACUUUGCAAAGGAGAUAUUAUAAUGGGAUUAAAGCUAUCCCUUAUCAUUUAGUAAACAAUUAAACUUUAUAAAAAUUAAAGAAAAGGAAAAAUAAUAAUAUUUUAUUAAAAUGGAAAUUCAUUUGGCUAGUUUUGCUUGUUCAAAGAAAAAAAAUUGUUAAAAUGUAAGGGUCUCUCUUUGAACAUUUUUGAAGGUUCAUAUUAGAUACAUACAUUAGGGAUGAAAUAAUUAGUGUUUGCUAAUGAUAAAAAAACCUUAAUUAAAUAAUUUUCUUGGAUGAUUCAAUUGGUUUAAGCUAAAGAUUGAAAAAGUUAGAAAACUAACAACUUAACAUUUGCCUAUCCAAAACCAGAGUUUGAGAUACACUGGAUUUUGGAUAAAAAAAAAAAAGAAUACUUCCACAAACAAGUAUAAAUAAGAGCUCUUAAUGCACCUUAAAAACUAAAUUAUCCCUGAACAUUAAUCAAAGAGAAAACAUUUGCAGCUUCUUGGAUUAGCACUAUAUUUAUUGAUUUAUGGGGUGUUCUGUUUGUUUCAGGUAUGAUCAUGGGUGCAGCUCUGUCAACUGUCUACUACAACCUUAGGCUGAGACAUCCUACAUUGGACAUGCCAAUUAUUGACUAUGAUUUGGCACUUCUCAUUCAACCUAUGCUCAUGCUUGGUAUCAGCAUUGGAGUCGUCUUCAACGUUGUAUUUCCUGAUUGGCUUGUCACUAUAUUGCUUAUUGUUCUUUUCUUAGGUAACCAUUAAUUCAAUUCAACUGUCUUCUUCAGUAAUUAGACAUUUUUGUUGCUCCUCUGAAUAUUUUUACUCUCAUGCAGGCACAUCAACAAAAGCAUUCUUUAAAGGGCUUGAGACAUGGAAUAAGGAAACCAUAAUGAAAAAGGUUUCAUUUAAUUUAUCAUGUAGUAUAAUGCUUUCGCUACAUUUUCAAAGCUAAAAUUUUACCAUUGUAAACAAAUAAAUGUUUUAUAUGUUAUUUUUUCGUAAAUUAUUUAGUGACAAUCACUUGAAAAUUUUAUUUCUAGGAGGCUGCCAGGAGACAAGAAUCAAAUGGUGAGUUCAGGAUUAUUUUCCCAAAACAAAAUAAAGUUGUCCUGGACCAUUAUUUUUCCUGAUGUCAGAGUGUAUUCAAUUUCUUUUUGGUUAGGUUCAGGAGAAUAUAAAGCUCUUCCAACUGGACCAAAUGUUGCCAUUGAAAAGGAAAACAAGGUACAGGAGAAUAUUAUAUAUUGAGGGAGGGUGAUAUUUCCAUAUUUAAUAGGAAUAUGGUAAUUUAAAAAAAUAUAUAUUUGGGGAAAGGGGUAAAUUAUUAUUGAUCAAAGUGACAUUAAUGGUCUUUUUUCAAUGGACUCCUUCAUUAUAGAUUAGAAGGACAAACUCUUACCACUUAAUUGACACAUUAUUGAUAUAAUAAUUCGUUCAAUUGCAGGUGUCUAUAAUUGAAAAUGUAUACUGGAAGGAGUUUGGGCUACUAGCAUUUGUGUGGAUUUCAUUCCUUGCACUACAGAUUGCCAAGGUAUGUUCUGUCAUCACAGUUAUUAAUACAUAAUACCAGUUUAUAACUUUCAAUUAAUUCAAGCCUCCUGUUGACAGCAAAACUACACAACUACAUGUUCUGCAGCAUAUUGGAUACUGAACUUGUUACAGGUAAAUUUAACUCUUGUGGUUUUGCUUUUUAAUUGAACAUGAUAUCUCAUUGUCACUCAACUUUUAUGAAUUUGUAUUUGAAUGUAUGUUACAAGUUACAAAAAUAUCAGAAAAAGUUUGAAUCAUGUUACAUAUGCAGAUCCCAAUCGCAGUUGGGGUAACUGCGUACGAGGCAACUGCAUUGUUCACAGGGAGAAGAGUGAUAGCUUCUACUGGUGAUCAAGGGAAAGCAUUUACAGUUGGCCAGCUAGUCAUCUAUUGUGUCUUUGGUGUGCUGGCCGGUAUAGUCGGUGGAUUGCUGGGACUAGGAGGCGGAUUUGUUAUGGGUCCGCUUUUUCUAGAGCUAGGAGUCCCUCCUCAAGUGAGUUUCAAACUGCAGUAUAUAAAUCAUGCUUCUCUUAUCCUGAUCAUUAAGUGAUUCCUAAUUGGAUCGGGUGUCAUCUGUGCAGGUGUCAAGCGCCACAGCCACUUUUGCAAUGACAUUCUCCUCGUCUAUGUCUGUUGUGGAAUACUACUUGCUGAAACGAUUUCCAGUUCCUUAUGGUUCGUGCCGCGAUCGCUCCUUGCUUACUUUCUACUUUUAUAAUAUUCCAGUUCCAGUUCCUUCUGAUUUCUGACCAAUGUGCUUUUUGAAAUGUGACACACAGCUCUUUACUUGAGCCUGGUGGCUACUAUUGCAGCCUUGGUUGGACAACAUAUUGUGAGAAGGCUGAUCAUCCUAUUUGGAAGAGCAUCACUCAUCAUCUUUAUUCUAGCCGGCACAAUAUUUAUCAGUGCAAUCUCACUAGGUAAGCUUACCCAUUUUUUGGAUUUGGGUUGUGUGCAAUCAUAACCUCGUAAUUGAACGCAGUCAGUCACAUUUAGACGGCUGAUUAAAAUCCGAAUGUCAAGAUUUUGAACCGGGUAGUUCAGAUUAAAAAAAAUGGAAAUCUACAUUGUAAUUUUAAUCAGACAGUCUAGACGUGGCUGACUAUGCACAAACAUUAUAUCAAUAUAUGGUACACUAAUAUUUUCACUCAUCUUGUUAGGUGGAGUUGGCAUUUCAAAUAUGGUGCACAAGAUUGCCAAUCAUGAGUAUAUGGGAUUUGAGAAUAUCUGCAAGUACGGAUCAUAGCACAUUUACUUUCUAGUGUUUACACUAUUAUUCAAAAAUUGCGUACCAAGGCCAAGAGCUAAGGUGGCCAUGAUAGAUUAUUUCUUAUCCUGUUAGAAGGUGUCAUUUUUUAUUAUUGCCAAGUCAUGGAGUGAUUCCGUAGGAAACUCAGAAACUUAUAUUCAUUCACACUGUUCAAGCCAUUUAGAUUAAGAUUCAUGUGAUUUGAAUCUUAUUGUGUCAUUUUCAAUGAAAAUUGCCAUUAUUAAUUUAUGUAUGUAGGUUCUAUUAGCUUAUUAUAAAUAAAAUUGCUGGGGUCAUCUUUUGGUACCAUAAAUGUUGCAGUUGCAAUGCCACUAAUUUAUGUAUGUGGGCUCUAUUAGCUUGCUAUAUAUAUCUUCAAGGGAGAACAUUGCAUGGAGUUUACAUCCUCGCAUAUAGGGCGAGGGAUACAUUUUUUUUGCAGUUAAAAUACAGAGUACUGUCAAAGAUAAAAUAGGAAAAACAAAGUUAAGCAACACAUAUUAAUCUAUAUUAUUUGAUCACAAGGAAUGUACAUCAUUUUUAUUGGUCAUCAUGACAAAGAAGGAAAAUUUCAGUUUGAUGGUCCAUACAUUUAUAUUUUACGAGAGCUACUUUUAUCCUAUUAAUAAUCUUUCAAAAAUCACACCUGUCAAGAAUCAAGAUAUACCAAUCCACAAAGAAAAACACCUAGGCAAAAUGAUACAUUAUUUUCCGUCAUAAAUUCGGAUGUGAAUUACUGGAAAACAAGGUCCCAUAUGUUUCAACUUUCAAGUCACACAACAAUCAUUGCCCUCAUAUACUACAACUAGACGGCCCCAAAUUUGGGUCAACACCACAUGGUACUGUUUCUAUUUUCUUUCACUUCCAAUUAUGCAAAGAAUAUGUACUAUGUACUAACAAGUGGGAAGAAAAAAAAAGGGCCAUGACUUUUCAGGUUAGGUGAAAUCAUACGGACCGGCAAUUAAAUCCCUUUUUUUAUGUGUAGAGUGCAUAUCCACCAUAUAGUCGCUAUCGUUAAUAUAACCUUUGUGAUAAACCGAUAAUGCUUGGGAGACCAAGUUUACCAAAAACACAAACAAUAUUAGACUCGGCGGUAUGUAUGUGAUCAUGUGAAUCUCUUAUAGGAUUCCUAUAUGUUCUAAUAACAUUUGGAGAAGAAGAAUGGAUGAGGAGAUCCACAUUCGAUAAAGUUUCAAGUUUGAUCUUAAAAUUUAUACACUUAUUCCCUUCAUGAAGAGUGUGGCAAAUAAUGAUAUUGCUUUGCUAGAUCAAAUCUUUUAUGUUUUGAAUCAAAAUAGCAUGAACGUGGUACUUCAUGGAUUGACCUUUUAUGAGAUUUAUACUAUGCAAGGAAUUAGCAAAUGAGCUCAUUAAUAUCCAUAGAUUUAGCUAACAAAAGACCCUGAUAAAUAGCAAGUAACUUGGUUGGGAGAAUAUCUGAGGAAUUGUGAAUAUAACAUGAAAAACCUGACAAGUAAACACCAACAUUAUUUUUUACGACAUCGCCAAACCAAGAUCUUAUAGGGGAGCCUAAGCAGCUCCAUCAACAUUAAGGAUGGCGUUAGAGUGAUUGUGUUGUUAUUCCACUUUAUGAGUCUAUCUUCCAACGCAACAUUAGAGAUUUGAUUAAACCAAACUUUAAAAGUUUUAACCAUAUUUUGAAUGUUGAAAGAUAGAUUACUUAUGGACCAAAUUUCUUUACAUAAGCACAUGUUGUUUCUCUGGUGCCAAGUCCAUCAAAGAACAUCGGUGAAAAGAAAAGAAUUAGGACCCAAAAAACCAUUCUUAAGCCAAUCAUGUUCAACCAUGAUAAAUAAAAAAAUCUGGAUAAUUGAACCAUGAAUGAUGCCAAAUUAAAAAUUUGAUUUUUUUUCUUCGUGAGCUAUAUUUUCCAAAUUCAAGACCAAGAGAGAUUAUGGGUAGAAAGAGUUACCAGAUUCAUGCGAUAAAGUAGCCAAGAAUAUCCACUUUUGGUAAUUGGUAGUGUAGUUACCACUUUUGUUACUUGUCCAAAUGAAAGCAUCUUCUAGGGAAACAUUGAAUUUAAGGUGAAUGUUGUUGAUGUUGUCAGACACGUAAAGAACAUGAGUAUAAGGGCCGAGAGAGGAUGUGACGUCUUUAACUGUCAAGUGCUGAUCAUGGAUGUCAAUAAAGGGUGCCAAGGACCCUAAAUAACCAAAUGAAUUCCAGGGAUAAGACCAAAAAGAAGAACUAUUUGAUCACGCGCGCCAAGAGAAACCAUCUUUUAUGAUGUUUUUUACUUUUAUGAUGGAAGACCAAGUGGUUGAGGCGCUAUUCUGGACAACAACAUGGAGGAAGCGCAAACCACCAACAUGAGGAGGUCGGCCCAAAGACUAUUAGAUGAUUGGACCGAAUCCCAAACAAGCUUACCAAGAUAAGUAUUAGUAUCUCUAGCUCAUAUGAUACUUGGGACGAGCAACUCUAUUCCAACCAACUAGAUAAUAUGUCAUAUUUUCAUAUUAAUUAUUUAAAAAUUAAAUCAAAUUUAAAUGAAUUUUAUAUGUACGAUACAUAAUCCAACAAAAUUUAAGAUCCCUACGAAUUUAUCUAAAAAAACACAGCUUCUCAUCAACGAAUGAAAGGUAUAGGACAAAAUAAAAAAUAAAUUCAGAAUGUGAGGCACAUGAAGUUAAUUUUUUUUUUUGCUUUUGCACCGGUUUCCGACCCACCAAUGAUGAACGACUAAUCCGACUCGUGCGUAGAGGCAUGCACACAUAAAGUUAACUUUUGUCAUAUUAUAAAUACCAUUUUUUUCGUAUACACAAUGUAAAGAGUUUUUGUAUUGUUAAUCAAUCGUAACCAACAUAUCAUUAUAAAUAUUUGAGUUUUAAAUUUUUUUGUUAAUAUUAAUAAUUAUUAGUAUCAUGUCAGAAGUAAAAACCGAGCAUCCACUUCCUUAUUACCCCGCUCUUUAAUUCCCCCCACCCAGCAACCAAAUCGAUCUCAUUUCUUCUAAAAAAAAUUGACUUUUAUCGUAACCAAAAAACCAUUUAUCAAAUUGCAUACAAUUAUUGAUAAAAUAAAAUAAAAUUGCUCACAAUUAGUUAUGAUAUGCUGAUUGCUUGACAUUAGAAAACCUUUUACACAUAUACAUGUAAAUUUUUUUGUUAAUAUUAAUAAGAACAAUAGUCACUUUAGUCCCUAGCUCUGCACCUCGCUGUCACAUAGGUCCCUAAUUCAGGAUUAAAUAUAAACAAGUUUCUGACUCUACACUUCUGUUAUCACUUUAGUCCCUGCCGUUAAAAAAAUCUGUUAAGUGAUGAUGUGGCACAUGUCUUAUACUGACUUGGCAUACGAUGUGUUAGGGACUCACAAAAGUUAUGGUACAUAAGGAAAUCCUUAUGCACCGUGCAUAAACACUUCACAACCAUCAGAUCUAGUGUACACGUGUAAUAAUCCUAGGCUUCUCAAACUACACCAAAUCAAACUUCAUUUGAUUCAAACACUUCUCUCACUAAAACAUAAAGCUCUCCCUCUCUCUACAAUUCAGAUGAGUCUUAAUCUCUUCCGACCACACAUGAUGAUUCCGGCGCAGUGGCCGGUGGUGACACCACCGCACCGGAGUUCAAAACUCCGUCCAAAUCAAAAAGUUUUCACGGUUUUAGACAUCCUUUUUUGUGUUGAUUCCAAAUAUCGCCUUAGAUUUCUCAAAAAAUAAACUCACACGAGCGUAGAUCUACGAGUAAAAAAACGGAACAAAAAGAGAAAAUGAAACUACCUCUUGUUCUUCACGGAUCCGUUUCGCGUUUUGGUCUUCUUCUCCGAUCCGGUUCGGAUUUGUUGUUGUGUUGAAGUGUUGUUCCGAUCUGGUUCAAAUCUUGUUGUGGUAGGCUGUACAAACUCUCCCUCUACCUCUUCUAAACCGAUUCUAGAUUUAUUGAUGAAUUCGAGAGUGAUAGAGGAUGUUUAUGUGAUUUUCUGUGGUUUAGUGUUCAUGAGGUUCACGGUUUCAGAUCUGAAGUUGUUACUGGAUUCGAAAUCUUUGUGAUGUUAUAGGGAUUUAUGGCUGGGAAACUGCUGGAAACCAUUAAGUACAUCUAAUGGUUUUCCACAGCAAAAUGGUUUUGGCAUUCCGGUACGGUGAUGAUGAUGAACGACAGUGUUGAUGAUGAGAUUGAAGAUUCUGGAAACCAUUUCCACAACAAAAUGGGUUUGGAGUACAACUCACAGAAACUAUUUCCAUAGCUAAAUGGUUUUGGCAUUCUGGUACGGUGAUGAUGAUGAACGACAGUGUUGAUGAUGAGAUUGAAGAUUCUGGAAACCAUUUCCACAACAAAAUGGGUUUGGAGUACAACUCACAGAAACUAUUUCCAUAGCUAAAUGGUUUUGGCAUUCUGGUACGGUGAUGAUGAUGAACGACGCUGUUGAUAAUGAGAUUGAAGAUUCAAGUGGUGAUAAUGAUGAACGACGGUGAUGAUCCAGUUUGUUUCCACGUUUGAUUCGUUUUGUUUUGUUUUGUUUGGUUUCCUUUGGGGGUGUAGGAAGCAAUUAUGUUGGGAUUUAUGCACGGUGCAUAAGGAUUUCCUUAUGCACCAUAACUGAUCCCUAAUCUAAGGGGUUUAACAUCCAAGGGACUAACUUUCUCUAAUAAUGGAUUGUAUGAUUCUAAAAAGGGGUUUAACAUGUUGUUGCUUUGUUAGUUUUGAUGUUAUAGAAAUUAGGGUUUAAUUUUGUUGUUGAUAAUUUUGAUGUUAUAGAAGUUAGGUUUGAAUUGCAAUUUGAUUGUUGAGAGAUUAUAAUUUGAGAGAAAUAAUCUAUGGUAAAGUGAACCAUAGAAUUGAACGGUGAAAAGAGUGGUUAAUCAGGUAGGUUAGUGAUGGAUUAAUGUUCUAAUGAUAGGGUAAUCAUAUGGUGAUGAUUAUUGACGAUUUUGGAGAGUUUAGGGUCAAGAAAUGGAGCCAAGGAGGCUCCCAUGGUAGAAAAUCGCAGAAAAAUCUAUGAUUUUAGCAUGUAUGAUGCUGUCGAAAUCAUGAGGCGAUUUUGACAGAAAACCUGCAAUUUCAGUAUGUCUGAUGCAUAUCCCUUUUCAUGUUCUUGCAUCUUUUUCACACGUUUCUGUUUUGAAUUGAGUUUUGGUAUAAACAUGAAAGUUUUAGAUAAUCGUGUUAGCUUUCUAGUGGCUUUGGUUUGACUUGAAAAUGAUUUUUGGUUUUUGAGAUAUGAUGAAAAUACUCCAAGGUGGUCUUAGUGAAAUUUUAUGAAAAUUCCGCAUAACUAUUUCUAAGUCAACCCAAAAUUUAUGGAUUGUCUCCAAACUUCAAAGCUUGUGUACUAUGAGUUCAAUUAAGGUGUUUAAGAGUAUUUAACCUAUGUUGUGAUGGAUCUAACUUGGUUUGACGUGAAUAUCUUUGUUGGAUGAUUUAAUAUCUAUAUGAAUGUAUAUGUUGAUAAAUAUGAGGUAUAUGAUGUUGUUCAUGAUUUAUGAAUUAUUAUAUGAGUGUAUAUGUCUAUGAAUAUGAAUGUAUAUGAUGUUGUUCAUGAUUGAUGAAUUAUUAUAUGAUGUUGUUUAUGAUUGAUGAAUAAUGAAGUCAUAAUGCGAAGUCGUUGCCGCUGUUGUCGUCAAUGUCGUUAAAUUUGUAAGUUGUUGUCGAUGUUGUCGAUGUUGUUGGUUGUUGUUGCAAUUGUUGAUGAGUCCAUGCAUAAUCAUUAAAGUUGAGGGCUUGAUGCUCUGUUGAAUGUAUAAUCAUUCAUAUAAAGCUGGGGGCUUGAUGCCCUGUCAAAUGCUUGAUCAUUCAUACCACGUUGAGAGCCUAUGCUCUAUAAGUUGGGGGCUUGAUGCCCUGAUUGGUACCACAUGCAUAUUGCAUUGUCAAGUUGAUGUUGUUGUCGUUGCAUUGUCGUUGAUGUUGAGUUGUCGGUAUUGUCGUCGUGUUGUCAAGUUGUCGAAAUAAUUAAUGAGUUGUUCUUGAGAAAUUAUGUGAAGCAUUAACAUUGUUUAAUUGUUGUUGUUUAUGUUGUUAAAUUCUCUACUUGACUCAUUGUUUAUUACUAUUGUUGAUGAUGAUUUGUUGUUGUUUUAUGUUGAUAAAUUCUCUUAUCUAAAUUAUUGUUUAUUAGUAUUGUUGAUGAUGAAUUACUUUUGUUUUGUGUUGUUAAAUUCUCUACUUGACUCAUUAUUUAUCAGUAUCGUUGAUGAUAAAUUGUUGUUGUUUCAUGUUGUUAAAUUCUUUUAUAGAAUUAUAUGCAUAUUAUUAUUGAAUGUGAAAUCUCACCCAUUCUGUUUGAAUGUUGCCUCUACGUGGGUAACAUGCAGAUAACCAGGAGCAACCACUGAUUUGAGUUGAUUCCUCAUGUCGUCUUAGGAGUCGCUCUGAUACUUAACCGGAUGAGGACUUUGAUGUUUAUUUCCUUUGUUACAUAUUUUUCUCUAUGAAUUUAUUGUUGGACCAAGUUUGUUGGAUUUAAUGAUGUUGUCUAUGUUGAGGCCGUAAUGUCAUUUUGUUGAAUAAUGAAAUAUUUUUCCGCUGCGAGUUAAUUUGAAUUAUUGAUAAAAGAUAUUUAAAUAAAUAAUAAUUUUACUCUAUUUAUCUUUUAAAGAAGUGUGACAUCCUGUUUAAGUUGAAUACUCUGAUUAUUAUGUAUUAUUUUGCAUGUUGGAAAAACGGGGUGUUACGGCGGCUGCCCCGGAGGUGUUACCUGUGGACCCUCCCUUUCCUGGAGGACCGGAAAAUAUAUAUCUGCUGCACUCUUAUGCCAAUCAUAUGGCAUUGCCGCUUUGGUAUAAUUCAGAGAACGUAAGUGUAAUUUUUUAAAAUGUUUUUUCUUUAUGUUUAAUUAUUUUCUUUAUAUGUGCGUUUGUUUAAUUAUUAUAUCAACUUUUAUAUGUGUUUUUUUUUUAAUUCUUUCUUUAUGUUUAAUUAUUUUCUUUAUUUCAACUUUUAUUGUUUUCUUUAUGUUUAAUUAUGAUUUAAAUUGUUUUUGUUAUGUGUUUUUUUUAAGUUUUACAUGUGUUAUGUCUUAAAUUAAAAAUAUGUGCGGCAAUUUAAAUUUGUGAUUUUUAUUUUUGCAUUUAUUAAGUUUUAUUUUGAUUACUUAAAUGUUUACAUUGUUUAAACUAUGUUUAUUUUUCUAUUAUUUCAGUGUCGUAAGAAGCGUGAUGUAAAACCGAUUAAUCAUGGGGCUAAGAUUUUGAGUCUCGGACGUCCAAACGAGAAUCAUGAUUGGUUUUGGGGUCCUCUUAGGGAGAGCGGGUUACAUGAUUUGGUUUUCCUGGGCUACGCCACUGUGCCUCAUGGUUUGCAGAUGACUCUAUGCGAGAGGUGGCAUCCCGAGACCAGCACUUCUCAUGGGGGAGAUGACCGUGACUUUGGAGGAUGUCGCAUGUCUUAUGCAUCUUCAGAUUGAAGGGAGGAUGUUGGGCCACCGAAAGAAGAUGCUGAGACUUGAGGGAGAGGCACUAUUGGUGAGGCACUUGGAACGUCGAAGAAGGAGGCAGAGAAAAUUUGCAAUAAAGAGUAUGGUGGGUACAUUAGUUAUCCAAAGCUGAAGGACUUAUAUACGACUAGCCUUGGUAGGGCUAACAUUUUGGCGGAUACAGAGGAUCCAGAGGAGCUGGAGGAGUUGGAGAGGGUUAGGACUUAUUUUGGAGGUGUUACAUUCUCUACUUGGUUGGAUGCUUGUUGUUUGGGAUAGAAGCAACAAACGCAUCGAGUUGAUCUAUCUGACGACAAUGGAGGACGGCUACGCGCGAAUGCAUAAUUAUUCGUGGGGAGGGAUGACACUUGCAUAACUAUACAGCGAGUUAGCUGAGGGCUGUUUACCUGGUGACAGGCAGAUUGGGGGAAGCGUGACACUGCUCACUGUAAGAAAACUUAUAUUUUAUUUUUUUGUUAACUUUUAUUUUUUUUGUUAUAUUUUUUGUGCGUAAUAAUUUAUAAAUGUGAUUUGUUUGGUUUGUGCAGGCAUGGUUUUUGGCGCACUUUCCAAAGUUUUAUGCUGUUGAUCCAAACACCAAGUAUGUUGAAAACUUACCGGUUGCGGCGAGGUGGAAGCUUCAGAAGGGUCAUGGAGAGGGGGUCACGUAUCAGUCACUGCUUGAUCGUAUUAUGUUUGAUGACGUAUGUUGGAGGCCGUACGAAGAGCACAAGGACUUCUAGGCUUUCGAGGAGGUAUUCUGGUAUUCAGGCUGGAUUAUGUGCGGUGAUUGUAGGGUGUACCGUCACUUGACCGAGAGGGUUUUGAGGCAGUACGGAUACGUCCAGACCGUCCCUAGACAUCCGCCGGAUGUUGUAGAGCUGUCACCGGCUGAGAUUGUGCAGGCUUUCGUCGACUUCCGCACUCACACGCUUAAGGCGGCCGAUUGGGGUGAGCAUGCAGGAGAGCAGACAUGGCGUAUGGUAGAUGGCUAUGUACGAUGGUACACCGUUGUGUCUCACCCUCCGUAGUUCGUUUUUUAGAACUUGUUUUUUAGUUUUGGUAUUUUGAUGACAUUGGUUUGUAUAAUAUUCGUAUUUUAAUGACAUUACUUUUCAUUUCAUGGAAUAUUUUACUUUGUUUAAUGGUAUAAAAAUGUUUGGUUUAAUUAAGUUGUGCAUUUGCGCAAAUAUUUGUUUUGUGAUUUGAACCAUUAUGCAUAAAAAUAACAGGUACAUAUGUUGUGUUUUGUGUUUGAAACACAUUACAGGUUCAUGAAAUGAAGCUACUGCCUCUGCCUUGGCUUCAGGACGCUUCGGCAGUUUACUGCCGAGAAAAUCCUUGCUAAUUAAGUGUCGAGGAAAUUCUCGGCAGUUAACUGCAGCCGGUUUUUUAAAUCCUCGUGUUUCUCAGCCUAACAAAGAUGUGUCAACAACAAUCUUCAAACAAAAAUAUAUGCCUAAUAACUAGCAGAGUAAACGGGGACUCUGAUUAUUGAGACGGAGAAAGAGAUCAAUAUCUUCCUCCUUUUCACUUUGCCAUUCCAUGUAAAGCAAAGCAAAUUACUGUGUAUUCUAUCCUAACUUAGGAAUCCUAAUCAUCGUUCUUCCUUUGAACCCUAAUUUCUAUAAUCUAUCCCAUCACGUUAAAGAUGGCUGAGAUGAAAAUGGGCUCCAUAUUAUGGAUUUUGUUGUUGUUAUUUGGUUUUGCAUCAUUUUUUGUGACUGUAUCGAGUGAAAUAAGGCUUGUGAAAAUACAAGUGCCAAGUUUUGAUUCUAAGGCUAUGUUUCUAGUUAAAUUGAAAUGUAUCUUUACAACCAAAAUAAAAGAAUGUCUCCCAGGCGAGUUCAUAAAAAAUAUGAAGAAGAAAAAAAAUCAACAAAGUAAAAGAUGAAUGUCUACCUAAUAUUCCCAACAAUAUACUAGGUUUAGAAGCAAUUACCAGUCAAUGGUGUCCCCAAUUCCAAGUUGCCCAUUCGUGCCUCUUCCCCAAGAAUAUACAUUGUCUUUUCCAGUAACAGCAAUUGUGUCUCCAACCACAUGAGAUUUGAGCUACUUUCUGUCAAACCAAACAAAAGUGAUUUAUUCUGCUCAUCAAUGAUAUUUUCCUUUGUAUCAUAUUUUUUUCCUUGACCUGAUAUUAGUACCAUUUCAUAGUGUAAUUUAUAUUUAUAUCUUUCAAUUUAUUUAUUUAUUUUGUUUAUACACUUUGUAUUAUGCUAACUGUUGUAUUUUCCCCCUAAAUAGGAAAAACCUUGGCCUCCUUGGUUGAGAGAUAUGCAGUUGUACCAGAUGAAACUGUAAGUGUCUUGUUUUAGCAUACAGUACUUCUAAACUUAAGACUGAAGAGUGACUAGAGUAUGUUAAUAGGAGCAAUUUUGCUCAUAGUUUAAGAAAUCUAGAAAGAAAAAGAUAACAUCAACUUGUGGGGACUAUCUGCAUUAUGAGAACUUUAGGAGCUUGUUUUGAUUGACAACUUAUUUUGCAGCUUGUAGUAUAAGUGCUUAUGAAUAAGCUAUUUCUAUGACUCAAGAUAAAAUAAAAUCACACUAUUUUUUUUUAUAAUCUACGGAGAGCUUAUGGAAAUAAGCUGAAAACAGAUUGUAAAUGUCAUGAACAGUUUUCAUAAGUUCUCUCAAGCGGUGUCACAAGUGCUUAUGCUUGUAGAUGAGCUCAAAUAAGUCAAUCUAAACAUGCCUUGGUAUGAGAGACACACAUUUCAUGCUAAUAUUAUAUAAACUUGUAUAAUUUGGCAGGCGCCGGUGGCUAACUCAGGUAGUUUAGAUAGGCUGGACCUUAGUGUCCCAGAAAGCGAUGUCAAACGGAUCCGAGUUUGAUAUUACUACAAAAUCUCCAUUCGACAAGAAUGAUGCAUCCUAUCAAUGUCUCUGCCUCCAGUGGCGGAUCUUAGUGGUGACCUGCAGGUGCCACUGCAUCCCCUAACUCUACUAUAAUUAUCAUAUUAUGCAUGAUAUAUCCAACGGAACAUUGUUGUCGCAGUGGAUAGACGAGUUUGGAAACCCCCCAAGGGUGUUGGUUUGAACCUCGUUAGCUUAUUUUUUUUUAUAUUUUCCAUUGUAUUAUUAAUACUUUACUCAAAAAAAGAGGUCCCAAUGGGAAUUGAACCACUGUUCUCUAUGGUAGUUUCAGGAAAAUAAACCACUAGACUAAAAGGGGUGUAUUGGAUUAGGAUAUUAAAAGACUAUUUUAAUAAAAAAAAAGUCUUUAAGAUUUUAAAAGAUUGUGUGAGAUUGUAUUGAUUCUGUGAGAUUUUAAAAGACUUUUUAUGUAAAAAGACUUUAUACACUAAGAUUUUAAAGGAUUUAUCACACUGACUUUUAAGGAUUUCAUGUGAUUUUAAAAUUUCAAAGGAUUCAAUGAAUUUUAGGAGAAAAAGAACAAACUUACAAGCGUGAAUGAUAAAAAAUAAUGAACAAAUAAAUUCUAUCGUUUGAAUAAAGAAAAAUAAAACCAAUAAAAAAUUCUUUUACUAUUGAUUUUCAAAUUUUAAGAAUUUUAUAACAUUUUAAGGGAGUAAAAAACACUCUAUCACAUUAUUCUCAAUACACAUUUUUUAUUUGUUAAAAAUGUUAUUCCCACAAAAUUCUAUUGUACAUAUUUAAAAUUAUGCCAGCACUUACAAAUCUUUCAAAAAAAAAAUAUUGUGUCAGCCAUUACAAAUUGGUCGAGUUACACGAGUUUACCUAGUGUUAACUCAGUCAAACUCGUUAAACCUUCCAAUUUCACCAGAAAUCUAUUUUACCUCAGAGUUAACACGAUUUUUGUACCUAAAAACGUAAACUCGGUAAUCUCGGAGAGUUAACACUCGAUUUGCUGAACAUUGAUUACGACAUACUCUCUAUCAUAACAUUCUCAAUACAAUUUUUUAUUUUUUUAUGAGAUAGAGAGAGAGAGAGAGAGAGAGAGAGAGAGAGAGAGAAAGGAGAGAAUAGGGAGAGGGAGGGAGGGAGAUAUAUAUAUAUAUAUAUAUAGUAACUUUUAAAAGAAAAACAAUCUCAAGAAAUCUCAUCUUUUCAUGAAAGACUUUUUCUUGUUAAAAUUACACUACAAAAUCCAUCAAAAUCCAAUUUAUCAAACAAUCAUUCGAAAUUAGAAUGAUUUUGAAUACCACAAGACUUUUUUUAAAUUAUGAAAAGUCAUGAUUGAAUAUCUCAAGACUUUUUUAAAAUGACAAAGAGUCUUGAUUGAAUACCACAAGACUUUUUUUAAGUUGCAAAAAGUCUUGAUUGAAUACCACAAUACUUUUUCAUAAUUAAAAAGUCUUUUAAAAUCCCAUAUAAUCCUAAUCCAAUACAUCCCCCAAUUCAUAAUUUUAUUAAGGGUUAAUUAAGUUUUUGGUCCCUAUAAAUAUUUGUAGUUUUCUUUUUAGUCCCUAUAAAAAUAAAUCACACUUUUUAGUCCCUACAAAAAUUUUCGUUAGUGUUUUUAGUCCCUGUUAAAUUAAAAUUUGUUUAAUUAUGCUUAAAAUUUUAAAUUUUUUAAUGAUUUUUUACAUAUUUGUUUAAAACAUUAUAAAAGGUUCCGACACAAUAAAUUAGCUCAAAAUUUUAUUUUUAGGUCCAAAUUUUUGUUAUUUUAUCUUGAAUUUUCGGCGUUUAAAAAAAAAUUAUAUUUAAUUCAUUACAUGUUAAAAAAUUCUAAUUUUUUAUAAAAGAGAUUAUUAUAAUGUUCUUAACAUGUCUGUUAAAAAUCAUUUUAAAAUAUAAAAGUUUAAGUAUAAUUAAACAAAUUUCAAUUUAAUAUGGACCAACACCUACUUUUAGUCCUAGUAAAAUUAAAAUUUGCUUAAUUUUGUUUAAACUUUUAAAUUUGUAACAUAUUUGUCACAUACUUACUUAGAAUAUUAUACAAAGUUCCUCCGCAAAAAAGUAACUUAAAAUUUUAUUAUUAGGUCCAAAUUUUCAUUAAUAUAAUCUUGAAAAUUUGUCUUUUAGAAAAAUUCAUAUUUAAUUCAUUACAUGUUAAAAAACUAAUUUUGUUUUUUUUAUAAAAGAGUGUCUUACAAUGUUAUUAACAAGUAUGUAAAAAAUCUUUCAAAAAAUUAGAAGUUUAGACUAAAAACACUAACAUAAAAUUUUAUAGGAACUAAAAAGUGUGAUUUAUUUUUAUAGGGACUAAAAACAAAACUGCAGAUAUUUAUAGGGACCAAAAACUUAAUUAACCUUUUUAUUAAUAACUUAAAACGGAUUUAUAUAUAUUCUAAACAUAUUUGAUACCCCAGAAAAAAAGCUCAAGAUCCGCCACUGUCUGCCUCAUCCAUCAGUCCCAUGGGGCGAGCUUCCACUUUUAUCAUUUUGGUUAUUAACAUAGUUAUUGUAAAGUAUAAUAUAUCCUAGUAUACAGUAUGGAUAUAUUGAAUUUUUAAAACUGAGAAAUUCAAUUCAAGACCAGUUUUGUGGAAACAAAAAUUUGAUUGUCCCUCACGUGUUUGCUUAAUUUGGGUGCUGAUUGCAAAUUUUCAUUGUUGCAGAUUUUUCUAUCGCGGUGCUCUCCAGUGGUUCCCCGAAAUUGGGUUAGUUUACUGUUCAAUUGUUUUUUUGUUUGUUUUUGUUGUUGUUAUUUGAGAUAGCUUCUCCUAUUUUACAUAUUGCUUUUAGAAAAAGUACUCUACAACUUUAAUAAGGGUUAGGAACUUCAUAUAGAAUGGAACAUUUGAGCAGGACAUUCCAAAACAGAAUAAAUACCUGCAUGAAAAAUGUGAGAUAUAUGCACCUUAAGAAUUCAGAACAAUUCGUUCAAUAGAACAUUAUUUCAUUAUCGUGCUUGCAUUGAGCUACUCAUCAUUUUUCCACUUUUUCCAUGCUUCUGUCAAUGGAGUAUGUUCUUGAAUCAGUGUUUUAGAGAGAGAUGAGAGGAAGAAGAGCUAGAAUCAAAUUUUGGAACACAAUUUCCUUCCUUUUUUUUCUUUCUUUUUUCUUUUUAAUUAUUUGUUGUUUUUUUUUUCCAUUUAUUUAAUUCCUUAAUUUAUAUGUGACUUUUUUUAUUUAUUUUUAAUUAAAACAAUGCACACGUGGCGGCUUUGAAGUGUCACGUCAGCGUUAACAGAGUCAAAAUUGGUUUAGGGGGCCAAAACUGUCAAAGAUCCAAUACAUAGGGGGCUGUUUUGUAUUUUAAUUAGUCAGAGGUCCAAAAUCGCAACUUCUUAAAACAUAGGGGUCAAAAGUGCAAUUAAGCCUUCUUUUUAUGAUUGUGCUUCAGUUUAUUCCCGCAACCAGUAUGGCCAAGGUUAUCGGUCCCUUGGUUUCUGUUUUUGUAAUAUAUGUUACAUAAGGUGAUGUUUCUCACUAUGUGGAACUAUUAAAAAACUAUAACUAUGGCAUACUAUUUCUCUUUGGCUCGUAAUGUGCUUUGUAUUAAGCAUGUCAAAUAGUAUUAUUAAAGAGGUUAAGAUUCAGUCAUGAAGCUGAUCAGGUGGAUGAAGACAUGAUUGAGACUGUUAUUCUAUGUUUGUGGAGGAUGAAUGUUUUUAAUCAGUUGUAAUUCGGGGCUUUUUGCAAAAGUUUAGGUUCAUAGUCAAAUGUUAGACAAAUUCAGAAUGAGAUCCAUGCUAAAAGUUUUCUUCAAAUUAGAUGUUGGUGAAGCAAUUUGAGAGGCUUAUCAAGUUGUUUUCUAUCACUUUGAUUCAUUUAGGGUUUUCUUUGGUCAUUCUUAGCUUAUUGUCAAAUGUUUCUUGGCUUAUUUCCAUAGUUGCAACUGGUUGCUGCUUCUGUUAUGUCAUCGUGCAGCUUUAUUCUCUGUGGUUGUUUUGUGUUCAGUAAAUUAUUCACCAAUGUGCAGAUUUUCCUUCUAUUCGUUCAUGCAAUCAUGCUUAAAAAACAAAGACCUACUGGCUACUACACGUGUGCAUGCGCACGAUAGACUCAAAUUAGCUCUGAAAUCCACACGUUCUGUUGUGAUUUUUUUUACUAAACAAACAUUAUCAAUUCAUUUAAAUCGAUAAAAUUUACAUUGAUCCAAAGAGGACAAUACAAACCUCAAAGUCGUUAAAACUAUGAAUGACGAAUUUGUAAGCAAAUUAACAACAUCUAAGUUUACCUAUUUGAAAAUCACUUAUUUAAAAAGAAGGGAAACAAAGAAAAAAAUGAUUUAAAGGGGUGAUUUUGAAAAGAAAAAAAAUGGCCCUUAAUCACCCCUCUCAUGAAAGGAUGAAGGAUGAGGCAGCUAGCUUUUUUCUUACAAUGUGGUUAGGCUUGUGAGUUUACAUGCUUGUAUUAUUAAGAAUUUGUAGAGUACUACUGGUGUAAUCCAUUACCCACUUCGAUUUCACUAUCAAUGACAAUACUUCUUUCAAGCACUUCGAUGAGAUGAUAAGCUAUCUCUUCAAACUUAACCUAAGGUUUUGGGUUUGGAAUUUUAAAUCCCUCAAAAAGAAGAUCGUUGGAUAAAUGAGAUUCAUUAUAUCUAACUGUGUAUCCCCAACACGUAAUAUUAGCCACAUCAUAUUUUAUUAUUAGAAUAUCUGAAAUUAAAUUUUUAUUUUUAUUUUUAAAAAAACCCAAUUUUUUUUUAAAAAUAAUAUAAAUUCAUUUAUAUUAAUUUAUAAUAUGUUAAAAAUAAGGUUUUCUUAUUUUUUAUUUUGAAAAAUUAAAUUUCAAAUAUGUUAAUAAUAAAAUCUGAUGUGGCUAAUAUUAGGUGUUGAGGAUACACGGUUAGAUAUGAUGAAUCUCCUUUAUCCAAUGGUCUUCUUUUUGAGAGAUUUAAAAUUAAUAAAAUAGAAUCAAAUCGAUGACCAAAACAAAGAUAAGGACCAAAUUGAAACGUUUAAUAGUUAAAAGAUCAAACUGAGAAAUUAAAAUAAAUUAAGGGACCAAGGGAUAUAUUAAGCUGAAAAUUUUAUCACCCAUUAGAAUUUUACCCUUUCUCAUAGGAUUAGUCUGUGUAAUUGUGUACGUAGAUAUCCAAUUAAAAAAAAGGGAAAAUUACACCCACCUCCCUUGAGUUUCAUCUAAAUGACACUGACACUAACACCCCCUCUAGUUUGAAAACCUACACUAAUCUCCCUUAAGUUUUCAUCAAUUAGACAAACACCACUCUUAUUAUUUACACCGUUAAAUUUCCAUUCACAUAAAUUGAUACAUUAUCCCAUGAUACAAAUCCAACCUCUCAAACCAAAAAAAAAAAGAGAUCGAUGCCCAAUAAUCUCUCAUAAUCCAGCAUCGAAUAAAUAUAUUUUACAAAAAAUUGAAUAAUAUGUCUCUUUAAUGGAUAAGAACCCAUAUAUUUUCCUUCCUUUGUCUCUGGUGUUGCACAGUUGUAUCCUCCUGUGACUCCAUAAUUGCAAUUCUUUUAAUCAUUUGUUCACAUUUGAAGUUCACAUAAAUUUUAUUAAAACCUUCAAAGCCAAAAUUCGAGUCAUCUUAUACAUUCUCAUGUGUAUAUUUAACUAUUCAUUCUUUAACGCCAAUUGGAUUGAUUUUAUUCAAUCUCCUCAUUAUUCCCAUCGUGAUUAUCUCUCUCUUUCUCUAGAAUUAGCAAAGUCUCUCCCAUCGUCAUCUCCUUGACUCUCUCUCAAUGGAAUUAGCAAAGUAUGUCCCUUUAAGCACAAUCAAGUUAACAAACAUGUGAGGUUUAGCAUGGGAAAGCUACUUUUUUCCCACCAUGGAAAGUUAAUUUUUGACCAUUAGAUCAAACCAAGAACACAUUCUUAUCAUACUCCUCAUCACUAGAUUUUUAUAAUUUUAUUAUUUUAAAAACAAAAAAUAUAUUUCGAAAUUAAAAUAAACAAUUUAAAAAUAAAAAAUAAAUUUAAAAAUAUGGAAAUUAAUUUUCCAAAAUUUUAAAAAAUAUAAAUAAAAUAAACUUGUUUCCAAAAAAUUUAAUUAUGAUUUUCGAAGAUUAAAUUUUUGUAAUUUCAAAAAUUAAUUUCCAUAUUUUUUNNNNNNNNNNNNNNNNNNNNNNNNNNNNNNNNNNNNNNNNNNNNNNNNNNNNNNNNNNNNNNNNNNNNNNNNNNNNNNNNNNNNNNNNNNNNNNNNNNNNAAAAGAUAAGCAUAAUUUUUUUAGAAAUCUAUACCUUUUUUGAAGAAAAGACAUCUACAAUUGUACUUUUAAUUAAAAUCAAAAUUUUAUAAAAAUUAUACGCAUUAGCGUAACAAAAAAACAGACACACAUAAAGUAUUACUCUAAACGCUAAUAUGUGUGUCUGUAUAUUUGCGAGGUUGAAGAAAUAAAAUAAAAAUAUUUUGUAUCAUUGAAUGAAACCUGCUUUAAAAAAUUAAAUGGAACGUCUAAAAAAUUAAAUGGAAGAAAAAAACAUAUUGAAAUAUAAUAUUAGAAAAUAAAAGAAAAGGUUCCCAACGUGAAUUGAAGAGAGAUGCUUGUGAAAUAAAUUGUCGGAAAGUAGUUUUUUGAAGUAGCAUUCAACAACUUUUGGCCAAAGCUCAUUCUAUUCAAUUUUAUGCAUUAAAAAAAGUACCUUUUUUUAGUAAGUACUUAAUUGAUAUUGUACUUGGCCUAACUUCUCCUUAAAAAUGUAGAGAAGUUGAAGGAAAAAAAACCGGGUCAAACGGUAUCUUAAUCUCCCACAACGGCAGUGUAAAAGCAACUGAAUUUGGGAGAAAAAAAAUUAGAAAAUAGUUAAAAAAAAUAAAAAUUGAAAAAUAGUUAAAAGUUAUUAAAAAUAUAAAAAUUAUAAAAUAAUUAAAAAAAAAUGGUGAAGGGCAAAAUGGAAAAUGCACCCUAAAAAUGAUGAGGUGGCACUAACCACACCCCAUCAAUUGGAAAUUACUAAAAUGCCCCUCCUAGGGGCAAAAUGGCAAAAUCCUAAACUUAAUUUUAUAAUAUAGUAAGUAGAUAUCAUUCACGUGUAUGAAAACAACCGGAUUGAUUUACCUCAUGAACUAAUAAAUCUCAAUAGAGAGGAUCGCAUUUUAGCUUCUUAUAUGUUAUAGGCUUCUUCUUUUUUUAAUGUAUCAUUCUUUAUAGAAUAUGAAUUUUUUCUCUCUUUUCUUUUCUCACCUCUCUUCGAUGGAUGUUCAACCGAACCAUCUAAUGGUGACUAAAGCCAUAUGAUUUUCCGCUCAUAAGACUUACUUAUUAUGCUCAUUGAUGAGACUCGAAAAGAUGAUAAUGAAAAUUUUGGAGCAUGUUAAAAUGUUAGCGGUAGAAAGUAAUCGGUCUAGUUAAAAAUUUGUGAAAGAGUCGUCACCAAAUGAAUUUAUUCUUGAUAUCAAGCCAAAGAGAGGAUUUAACGUAGUUAAAAAUAGGUUUUUUUGCCUAAAAAAUCUAUUUCAUUAGAAAUUGUCUAGUCUUCAUCACCAGAGAGCGAAUCCCAUGGAAGCUUUAACAUCAACACUUAAUUAAGAGAUCUUAAAGAUUUGAUACCAUCAUACCAAGGUCACUUGUGAGCUAGUAAGAGUGCAUAAAUUUCUCUAACAAACUAUAACCAACCACCUUUGGAACAUUUACAUCCCCUGACCAAAUAAAAUUCAAUGACUUAGUAGCUUGAUAAAGAAAGACAAGAGGAGAUUUAUUUAUUUUUGUAACACUUCUUUAGUAAUUCAAAUAUUUGGCCUUCUAUUGGUUAGCAUAUCAAGAUUAAAAACCAAAUUAAAAAAAAAAGUAAAAGAAAAGAAAAUUAAAGUCAAUAUAAUUUAUCAUAUGCUAUAGAUUCAAAAAGAAUCAUGUGCUCUCAACGGUAGCUUGAUAAAGAAAGACAUAGGGGUAUAAAUAUAAUUGUACGAACAAAGUAAGGUACAAAUAAUUAAGCUAAUGCAAGGAAAUUGUACCUUUUUGGAUCAUUAUGAAACCAUAACAAACAAAAUAAUGUAACCUUCUUUUUGUUUUGAUCAAGACAACUAAAUAUUCCCCACACACAUUAUGUUCCUCAGCUCUACAUGUUUGACAUCCAACAUUGCCAGCCUCAAAUGGCCUGCAUUUCUUCUAAUGGUGGAAGAGUAUUAGAAGAUAAAGAAAACACAAUUUUUUGAGUGUGGAAAAAAAAUUAUAGACAUAUAACUAAAUUUGAAAUAAAGGUGCACAAUGAGACAAUAGUAAAAAAUUAAAUUGAAAUGUGCGGUAAAUACAACUCAAAUGGUAAAAGAUUAUCAUAAUAUUUGAUAUGUUAAAGCAUGAGUUUGAAUCCACAAUAACGUGUAAUACUCAUAUUCUUCACUUGAAGUAUCUGUUAAGUUCACCACUACUUUUUUUUAAUCACUAAAAUGGAAUAAUUGAAAAUGAGAUGCUUCUAGGAAAUAAUCAUCAUGUGACUAAGAGAUAGGAAUAAUCCUUGCACGAGUUGAUAGGUUUUACAAUAUAAAUCUGUAAAGAAAAAAGUUGUGUUUGGUUCAAUUUUGGAACUUAAUAAUUCAAAUGGAAGCUUCAAGGAAAUGUGAAUCAUGUACUAUUUAAUCCUUAGAAAGAAAAACAAGAUUAAUUGAAACAAAAAAUGGCAUGGCGUAUGCUGCAAAUAGCAUGGCAUAAUAUAAUUGGAGGAUUUUCCACUAAAAAAUUAACAUGUCAUAUUUUCUUUCGACAGACAUGACAUACUUUAUGACAUUUUUAUCUUGGCAGUCAUUAUUAAUCAACAAUUAUUGAAUUUUGAGGUCGUUUGUUCAUAAUCAUCCACAUGGGAUGUCUCAGUCAUUGGCUAAAGAUGCCAAUUUAAAUCGAUGCCUAAUUUUGGAAAGGUGUGAGUGCAUUAUUAUGUGCUAAACCUAUUAAUACGUAACAUAAUAAUAAAAUGGGUCAUGGAACGUAUGGGUACAAAUUAAGGAUUUCAAAAAAAAAAUUAUUUGAAACAAAUGAUUUUUUAAACAUUUUUUGAACAAGAAUUUCGAAAUUUUAAGUUAUUUAAUGCACAAUUUCUAAAUCAGGACUAGUAAAACAGUAUACAAAAUUGUACCAAAAGUAAGAUGGUAUACAAAUCUAUAAAUCCAUUGGACAACCAAUGGCGGAUCUUGAGUUUAUUUAUCGGGGGUGCCAAAUAUUUGUAGAAUAUAUAGUAAAACGUUUUAAAAAAUAUAUAAUAUUGUAAACUGGUGUGAUGGUACAAUUUCAUGAAUAUAACAUUAGGUAACAUUAGAGAUGCUGGUUCAAAUCCCACUAGAACCUGACUUGCUUAAGAGACUGCAUGACUGCUGGCACCUGGGGGUCUCUGAAGAGAUCCGCUCCUGUGGACAACUAUUUGUUUUGCUAGUGAUUAAUGUAGGAGACUUGGAUUUGGGGGAAUUAGUUUUGGAGCCGAAUUGGUCUUUCAAAAAUCAGAGCUAAAUAGUGUCUCAAUCUUCUAUUUUGCAUAGUGAUUAAUGUAGGAGACUUGGAUUUGAAGUUAUGAAAAUUGAUUGUUCAAUUAUAGUGAGAGCUCUUGUAAGGCUGGUCUUGGAGGGGUAAGAAAAUUACUUGGGUUAAGCCUUUGAAAUUUGUAAACUAAAGUGUCAGGGUGGUUAGGGUUUAAGGACCCUUAGGUGAUGAACCUAAGCUUUCUAGCAAAGUAGAGUAUGUGACUCUUGGUAGAUUAAGGAGAUCUGUUGGAGGAAGAUUUUCAUUUAGAUUACUAGUUAAAAACCCGUGCUUCGCACGGGUUCAAUAACGUAUUCGAUAAAAAAAUUCUUUGAAAGAAGAGAUGUUAAAACGACGGAACAUUGUGAUUCAUCAUAAAAUAUGUAUGGGCUGAUUAAGAGAGCAUAUAAUCAGUUUAUGAUAUUAGGAAUUGACAUAAUAUUUAGGAUGAAAACAAUUGGAACCAAUAAAGGAACCAAUGAUGUGUGAAUUUACAUAUUAUCCAAAAUUAUAAAAAAGAGUGUUGUUGUAAUACCCAUAUUGACAUCAAAUGAAAUCAAGCAAAGAAGUAGCAUUAGUGAGUGAAGAUAAUCUAGUCUACGAUUAGAGUUAAGGUGAUCUGUUGAAAGUGCGGAUCAUGAACACCAAAUCUUUAUUUGGAAACGACUUGAACGUGCAUAUUUUUAGUUGGCUUCUCUAGAUCAAAAAUUAACUUAUCACCUACCUCUAACAUAUGUUCUCGGCAAAAUUUGAACCAUUGGCCGCCUAAGUAUUUUUUGUAACUUGCUCUCUUUGCCAUUAUCAAAUGACACUUAUACCUUUUUUAAGCUUGUUUGUCGAUGAGUGUGAUUGUUUUCCGUGUUCCUUUUAGAAAUGUCAUUGAUAUCUCAUUUGAGAAGUGCUAGGUACAAAACAAAUUGCAGUGUUAAUUAGAAGUUAUAUAUAUGUACAUUUCUAAAACAUUUACCAAAGCAUUAUAAAGAUUUGUUGUAGGAAAAGAGCAUGUUUUAUUUUGUUCAAGAGAUUAGGAAAACAACAUUAUAAUUAACAUGAUACUAAUUGGAACCAAUGAAGGAACCAACAAUGUGCAAAUUAACGUUACAUAAUAGUUAGGUUUAUAAAAGAGAUUGCAAGUUUCAUAAACUAACCAAAAUGGGAUUUUUGCCAAUAUUUACAUCAGAAAAAAUGAAAAGAACAAAUGACAUCCCAAAGUCAAGAUAGUUUACGACUACAGUCCAAAGCGAUAUGUUAAAAUAGUAGAAGUUUAAAUAAUUCAACAACAAAGAUCUACUUUGGAACAACUCGAAUUUGCAAGUUCUUCUGUGAUUUUUCGAGAUCAAAGAUGAGCUUACCACCUUCUUCCAUCACUCAUUCUCUGCAGAAAUUGAACCACUGCCCACCCAAGUAAUUUUCAUAGCUUGCUCUAUUGGCGGUAAUGAGGUGACAGUUAUACUGUCUUUAUAUCUGGUCAUCAAUGAGAGUGAUUGUUUUACGCUUUCCUUUCAGAAUUGUUCUUGACACCUCGUUUGGGAAAUGCUAAACAGGAAAAUAACUGCAAUAUUAGUCUAAUGCAUAUUUACAUGGAUAAAAUGUAUGCAAAUAUAGUUACAUAUAAUUUAUUAAAUAAAGGUACCAUAACUGAUUUUAAGCUAAAAAAAAUGUAGCAUGACUUAUAAUUUAUCUUCCUAUAAAGUCUAGAUAAAUGCAUGCAUGUACAUUAUAUGCACCCCAUUGACCAAUUAACAUUGUUCAAACAAAUGGAAAUUAAGCAUCACUUCCGCAUGUGCAUAUAUAGCUACCACCAUUUGACAUUGAUGUCUUCAAACAUUUGGUGCAACUCUCAUAAUACAAUCCAAACUGGUUAGGAUUGAAUUUAGUUGUUUUCCAAAUAGUGAUGUAGUAUGUUUCCUAACACAAAUUAUGCACAUUAAAUAAAGAAUAAUGCAAUAUGUAUUUUUAAUUUGUGCGUAAAAAAACUCAAAGCAUGUUUGUGCAUAACAAAAGCAGACAUUGACUAAGUUUAUAAUUCAGCAAUUGGCCUAACCUGAGACAGUUUGGAAAAAUCGUUGUACGAAGUACGUAGAGGAGAAGUCGAACUCUGACUUAAGUUCUAACUGAAGCUUUGACUCUGAGCUUGAAAAGUGUUAAGGUCACGACAACAAUUCAAGAAACAUGGUAAAAAAACAAAUCAAAUCGGAUUGUGAAAUAAUAAGUUACUCUAACACUGUAUUGUGAACUCAUAAUGUAAACUUACUAAGUCUUAAACUUCUCACCAAUUGUUACAUAUAUUUGGGUUGCCAUUGACUACAAAAUGGAAGCAAGGAACACAAGGUAAAUAGAUGGUAAAUGAUAAAGUUACGGAGUAUUUUUCCCAUAGUGUUACAUCAACUAUAUUCCCACUACAUAAGGAAAGACAUCUUUCGGGUCAUUAUCAAACUUAUACAAAAUUCUAUCAUCUGAUGUUGGCAAAAUGGAAAAUAAUAUCUUUUCUAUUUAGCAAUAUUCAGUUUUUUUCAAUAUGAAAAAGAUAUGCAUAGUUUGUUACGAUAUAAAGGUGCAAUAUAUAUAUAUAUAUAUAAGCAUAAUUUUUUUAGGCAUUUAUACCUUUUUUAAAGAAAAGACAUCUACAAUUUUACUUCUAAUUCAUAUCAAAAUUUUAUAAAAAUUAAACGCAUUAGCGUAACAAAAAAACAGACACACAUAAAAUAUUACUCUAAACGUUAAUAUGUGUGUGUGUGUGUGUGUAUUUGCGAGGUUGAAGAAAGAAAAUAAAAAUAUUUUGUAUCAUUAAAUGAUAAUGUGAAUAAAAAUAUUUGUGAGGUUGUUAUGAUUAUACGAUAUUUAAAUUAAAUAUAUAAGUGAUAAAAAGAUAAUAAAGUUUCUUUGAAAAAAAAGGUAAUAAAAUUAAAUGGAACCUCCUUAAAAAAAAUUAAAUGGAACGGCUAAAAAAAAAUUAAAUGGAAGAAAAAAAUAUAAUGAAAUAUAAUAUUAGAAAAUAAAAGAAAAGGUUCCCAACAUGAAUUGAAGAGAGAUGCUUGUGAAAUAAAUUGUCGAGAAGUAGUUUUUUGAAGUAACAUUCAACAACUGUUGGCCAAAGCUCAUUCCAUUCAAUUUCAUGCAUUAAAAAAAAAGUAUCUUUUUUAGUAAGUACUUAAUUGAUACUGUACUUGGCCUAACUUCUCCUUAAAAAUGUAGAGAAGUUGAAAAAACAUCGGGUCAAACAAUAUCUUAGGUACUGUUUGGCCAGACUUUUUUUCGGUCUAAAAGCUACUUUAAAAUAAAGUUAAAAUAAAGCUCUUUAAGAAAAAAGCUAAAGCUGUUUGGUUUCUUUAUUUUUUUUAGUUCUAAAGUUAUUUUUAAGUUAAAAGGUGUUUGGCAAAAUAUUAUACAAAACUUUGAAUUUAUUAUUUUUUUGAUGGUGCCUGGGGUUCGAACCCGCGACCUUGCAUAUAUUUAUGCAUUGUCUAUAUCAAAUGAGCUAAGGUAGAGAAUAGUUUAUUUUUUCUUUUCCAAUUAUACUGUAUAACAAAUUUUGUUAUAAGAAUACCAUAUUUUUGGUGUCAUUUAAAAAGAUAAGAAUUCAUAUUAUAUUAUAUUAUAUGAUAUAUAUGAUAUUAUAUUUAUUACAUCGCUGGUGUCGUUGAAAAAGAUAUGUUUAGUUUUUUUAAUAAGAAAAAGAUAUGCAUAGUUUGUUACAAUAUAAAUGUGUAAAAUAUAUAUAAGUAUAAUUAUUUUAGGCAUCUAUACUUUUACUUUUAAUUAAAAUCAAAAUGUUAUAAAAAUAAUAAUUAUACGCAUUACGCAACACUAAAAAAAUUACACGCAUUAGCGUAACAAAAUAACAGACAUAUGGACAUAAAAUAUUACUCUAAACGCUAAUGUGUGUGCGUGUAUAUUUGUGAGGUUGAAGAAAAGGAAUAAAAAUAUUUGUGAGGUUGUGAUAAUUAAAAGAUAUUAAAAUUAAAUAUAUAAGUGAUAAAAAGAUAAUAAAAUUUCUUCAAAUAAUAAAAUUAAAUUGAUCCUCCUUUAAAAAAAAUUAUAUGGACCGGUUCAAAAAAAACAUUAAAUGGAAGGAAAAAAACAAAUUGAAAUAUAAUAUUAAAAAAUAAAAUAAAAGGUUGCAUGCGUGAGUUGAAGAGAGGUGCUUGUGAAAUAAAUUACGGAGAAAUAGUUUUUUGAAGUAGCAUUCAACAAUUUUUGGUUAAAGCUCAUUCCAUUCAAUUUUAUGCAUUCUAAAAAAGUACUUUUUUUCGAAGGUACUUUAUUAAUAUUGUGUUUGGUCUAGCUUCUCCUUAAAAAUUGAGAGAAGCUGGAAAAAAAGUCGGAACCGUUUGGCACAACGACAGUGUAGAAGCAACUGAAUUUGGGAGAAAAAAAAUUAGAAAAUAGUUAAAAGUAAAAAAAUUGAAAAAUAGUCAAAAAUUUAUAAAAUAUGAAAAUUGGUGAGGUAGGCACUCAACCAAGCAACACUAAAAAAAUUAUAUGCAUUAACGUAGAGAUGUCAAAAUGGAUCGGGUCUUACGGGCCAGCCCGAAUGUCCGAAUAAAAUGUAGGGCCUGGGCCGAUAAAUAGCAGUCCGAAUUUUUUCAGGGUUUUUUAGCCCGGCCCGAAAAAGCCCGAAGCUCGUUAGGGCUAAGAGCAGCCCGACAAAAAAAAUGCAUUAUUUUUUACACGGGACUGGACGGACAGCCCAAAUAAUUAUGUUCAUUUGGUAUUUAAGUCAUUCUCUCUUCUAAAAAUUGUAUAUACUUAUGUUCAUAUGUUUUGUUACUUCUAAUUUAUUUUUUUUGACCGAAAUUUUGUUACUUCUUCUGAUUAAAAUGAAGGAAAAACAAAAAUCAAAGUGGUCGUGUUUCAUCAUUGUUUCUUAACUCUUGUUCUCCUAUGAUGUUAAAAAUGUUAUGCUUUUAUUCCCCACUUAUGAAACCCUUUUGUUUAUGGUUGCAUUGUGAUUUCCUUUCCUCACUGUUAACUCAGUUUAGUACGCUUUAUCUUUCUUUCUUUUUUUAAUUUAUUUUUACAUGUAUUAGCUAAUUAAUUAAUUAUAUCAUAUAUGUGGAUCUUGCAAGACAAUAUAGUGACUAUGUUGUUCCCUAAAAAAAUUAUAUAUAUAGUAACUAUACAGAUUAGCAAAUGAAUUUAAUAAAUAUAUUUUUUUAGUGUACAAUUAUGUUAAUGUUACUAUGUUAGUAUGGAUAAUUGUUAUUCUCUUGGACCAAACUUAAUUUAUCUUUUGUUCACUAUAAAUUUUGUGUACAUUUAUGUUAUUAUAUUUUCAAUCCUUAAAUAAUGAAAAAAAGGGCCUGCGCUGGUCCGUUAGCCCGGGAGCCCGUAAAGGGCCGGGCUCGGGCUCUAUUUUUCCAGCCCAUAUUCAAACCGGGCUUUUUAGCCCGGCCCUUAAAAGCCCGAACGGGCCGGGCAGGGCCGCCCGUUUUGACAGCUCUACAUUAACGUAACAAAAAACAGACAGACAGACAUAAAAUAUUACUUUAAACGUUAAUAUGUGUGUGUUUAUAUAUUCGUGAGGUUUAAGAAAGGAAAUAAAAAUAUUUGGCAUCAUUAAAUGACAGCGUGAAUAAAAAUAUUUGUGAGGUUGUGAUGAUUAAACAAUAUUGAAAUUAAAAUAAUUGAUAGUGUGUUUGACCUAACUUCUCCUUAAAAAUGUAGAGAAGUUGGAAAAAAAACGAUACCUUAAUUUCUCACAACGGCAAUGUAGAAGUAACUGAAUUUGGGUGAAAAAAUUAAAAAAUAGUUAAAAAAUAAAAAUUGGAAAAUAGUUAAAAGUUAUUAAAAUUAUAAAAUAAUUAAAAAAAAUGAUGAGGGGCAAAAUGGAAAAUGCACCCUAAAAAUGAUGAGGUGGCAAUAACCACACCCAUCAAUAGGAAAUUACAAAAAUGCCCCUUUUAAGGGCAAAAUUAUAAAAUCAUAGACAUUUAAUUUUAUAAUAUAGUAAGUAGACAAAAAAUUCAGUAUAUACAAAUAGUUUCCUCCUUCCAAACUAAUUUGUCCACUUAUUUUCUUUCUUUCUUUCUUUUUUUAUAAAGGGCUAAGAGAAAUUUAGUUCCUCCCACCUCAUCUAAAAAACUGAACUAAACAAUAACAGUAAAAUUGAAAAUAUUACAUACCCGGCCGAAUAUUCAUUCUCUACCAACCAAAGGAUCAUAAACAUCAUAUAUAUUAGGUCUACCAACCAAAGGACAGGAACAUCGUAUAUAUCUUGAGUAUUAACCAUUGUGUCAUGCUCUAAAUGGUACCUAAUUUUUUAGUUUAUUUAUUAGUAAACAUAAAUGGUACUCCCUCUCAUCCAAAUUUAAUUGAGCUUUUCACACAUAUUAAAAAAAUUGUAUAAAUGAAAGAAAAAGAAAAAUAGUUUUGAGAAUCUUUAUCAAGUAUUGGUGCAUUCUUCUUUAUAUAUCAAGUAGAAUAUAUUGAAUUGGAAGUAGUGAAAGUAGUAUUAAUUAGAGUUAUAGUUGGAAAAAAGUAAUUAAUGUUCUAUUGAAAACUGAAAUGAGUCAAGAUUUAUGCGAUAAUAUUUUUUUACAAAUAACUCAAUUAUUACGGGACGGAAUGAGUAGUUUGUAGAACAUGACAUAAGAAAUUAUUAAUAAUGAAUGAUUUGAAUAAUACUUUUUUUUUUAUAGACGAGAUGACAAAGUCAUCGUAAACUUACACACAUAAAAUGGAGGUAUCGCGGUUUAAACCUCGGUCAUGAUAUCUGGUCUAACAAUUUCGACAGUUUUACUAAUUGAGUUAGGACUUAUGAGACGAUUUGAAUAAUACUUAAAAUAAAAUAUAAAUUUAACUAAUAUAUAUAUUAUAUGAGAGUAUACUUAUUUUACUCAUCUAUUUAAUAAUGCAUUUUCACGUUGAUUAAUGUAUACAAUAACACAUAAGUUGUUGUUACUUCAAAAAAAGAAACAUGAGUUGUCAUAUUGAUUAAUUAACAGACCAUGUUUUAUUAAAUAUAUGUGUAAAAUAAUUAUACACUGAUAUAAUAUAUUAAUUAAACUCAUAAAAUGUAAACAUCAUUAAUUAUAAAAAAAUAAAAAUCAAACAUACCUCAUUUAAAAUUUAGACAGAAAAUGUUUAACUCUUUCUAUCAUUUACUUUUUAAAAAAAAAAAUUAAUUAAAAUGGAGUUUAUUAAAAUUGCAAUGAAUCUUAACCAGCAAAAUGAGUGCUAGGCUAAGAGUAAGUAGCAACUUUCUAUCAUUUACUUAUAAUUUGAUACGAAUUGUAAGUUGUAAACAAAAAAAAAAUUAUGAAUACAGUUUUUUUUUUUAGGGAAUACGAAUAGAGAAGUUGAUGAUGAAUAAACUAGCAAAUUUAAAUAUGAAGCAUUUAAAAAAAAAUUACAGUUAACUUAUAAACAUAAACUAUGUAGUUAAUUAAUAUUUAAUUUUUUUUAUCGUAACGUUAGUCAAUUUUAUCAAAUGAUUGUGUUUUUUAAAGUAUAGUUUCUUAAUAUUUUGCAAGCUCUCACGGUUUAUUUAUGAGAAAUAUUAACCGGUGUCAUCGAAAUACUAAUUAAAAAAAUAUAUAUAAUACUAUUUUAUUGAAUCUUGCAUAAUUAACUUUUCGAAAGUGUAAAAAAAAUUAUUUUUAAUUUAAAACAUAUAUUUUUUGACUUUAUUAAUCAGUGUCCUAUAAGGCAAAGGAGUGUUUCGGACGUACCGAUUAUUACACUUCUUUAUGGAUUUAACUACUUCCUUAGGUUGGGGAGUGUGAAGUUGUAAAUUACUUUUAGUUUCAAAUUUUAAAAAAAUGUGAGACUCUUUUAAUAUUAUGUGACAGAUAGGAAAGUGGAUUAAGAUCACAACGAGUGGGUUCGGUUCUAUCCAGAGACCAGAGCCAUCAAAGACCAUUUACAAUAGCAUGUUGAAUUUGCCAUUCAACAUGUUGAACCUUUGUUGAACCAUUGUAGGUGGGAGGUGUUGAAAUGGGGAAAAAGUGAGUUGGAGGAGGGAAGUGUUGAAACAAUUCAACAUGUUGAAUGUCUGGCCCAUGGAGAUACUUAGCGCGCGCUGAUUGGCUGCUCGGAUUUUUAUCUUCUUAAUAAUUUGGACCCAAUUAUUUUAUUGCAAAUAAAUUUUUAUUUUUAUUUCUUUUUUACCAAAAUUCGUAAUUUUUUUUUCUCUAUAAAUAGAGACUUGGAUCAUUUGAUUUGGACACAGAAAAAAAAUCAAAUUUUUCACUCUCUUAAUCUUAUUAUUAGCUUUGUAUUAGCCUUUCUUUUGAAGUUUUAGUGUUUAUUUAGUUUGUUGUAUUGCAUUUUAUUUAUGUUAAGAAAAUAUAAAUAAAUUAUUUAAAUAAAUUUUGUUUUUACAAAAAAAUAAAAAUUGUUAAGUGUUUCUUCAUUUUAAUUUAAUUAUAAUCGAUAAUUGUAAUUUUAUGUAAUUAUAAAAAAAAAUAUAAAAUUAAAUAAGAAUAAGAAAUAAAAUAUGGUGGGGUAGGAUGUUGAAUGAAAAAACCAUUGGAGAGGUAAAAAUUGAAUAGGUAUUGAAUUAAGAGAGAGAAAAUGAUGUGGAGUUUUGGAAAUUGAAAAAGUGGAUGUUGAGGAUUGUUGAAUAUAUUUUACCAUUGUAAAUGGUCUUAUAUAGUUUAUUUAAGGGUGACUUGUAAAGUUAGUAAGUUAUCUUGUCUAUAAGUUCUGAGUGUUCUGCUUGGUUUGGUGUUUGGUAGCAGCAUUCAUGAAGACAGCUAUCUUUUUAUCCUUAAAAAAAGAAGAAACUAUAUUCUCCUUAGCCGCUAGUUAUUGUUUGACAUGUUUUCGCUGAGAUUCGAAUCUGGAUCUGUAAUUCUGCAUGUGCUGGUAUAUUCAUAAGGAUGAGGUAAUGAAUGAAAAAAUGCAUCAAUAAUUCAUUUGUCUAUGUAGGACAAAUCCAAGACAAAGUUGUUGUCUGUAAUAAAUGUGAUUGAAAUAAUGCAAGUGCCGUAGGCCAUAUUGCCACAUGAGUAAAAGAAAAGUGUCAUGGUGAAGUGAAAACUUGGAUUAAAAGACUUUUUUCAUUUGUGUUUGCGUGCUGUUUGGUUACUUAAUUAACAAAGAGUGGGUAACUAUAAUUACUUCUUCAAAUAGCUUUAUUUUUUGGACAGAUUCUUGAAAUAGCUAGUUGUUGUGAAUUUAGUUUUUGACGUUAUCAAUAUUUUUAAAAAAAUUAUAUAGAAUAUAAUAUAUAGAUAUUUUAUCAUUUCAGUCUUUUUCAAUCAAUUAAGUUUUAAGUUCUGUUUGGCAAUGUUAAACAAAUACAGUAGUUUAUAUCAUAUAAACUUGUAUGAUCAAAAUAUAGUUGCGUAAGUAACAAUUAUUUUCUCACAAGUUUAUAUACUUUUUAAUAUGCUAUUUCAAAUAGUUUUUACAUUCAUAACUCAUACUUAUUUUUCACUUAUUUUCUUGAUUAGAAUUUUUACUAUUAAUUUUUAAUAUAUUCUUUUUUUUAAAGAAAUUUUCAAUAAAUUCUUUGAUAUUUUAUAUUUAUCAGCUGGUUCAGUAAUUAAUUUUUAUGAAAAAGAUUAUAAAGGACUUGUGGAUACUCGUAUUGAUAUGAAGUCAACUAUUUCUGUAUUUUCUCCCUCUAACUGAAAUCCUUCUCCCACAUCUUCUUUUAAAUUGAACAUUGAUGCAUCUGAAUAGGAGCUAUAGUUAGAGACUCAUAAAAUUUUAUUUUAGCGGAUGCUGUAUGAAACUUUGAGGCACUUCUUGAUGAUAACAUUGUUGAAGCUCAUAGAUUUUAGUUUGCAAUUCAAUUUGCCUAUGAUAUGAAUUUUCAAAACAUUAUUGUGGAAGGUGUUUCUCUUAAGUCUUAAUGUGGUGAAGACUAUGAAGUCGUCUACCGAUGAUAAUUUUUACUUUGGUUUGGUGAUUAAAAUCUUAGUUGUUUGCUUUCUUCAUUUUUAGUUUUUCAUGUAUGAAGAGUUGAUAAUGAUGUUGCUCAUGCUCUAGCUAAGUUUGCUUUAGUUUCAAUUGAUUCGGUUUGGAUUGAGGAAAUUCCUCUUUUGUUGGUUAUGUUGUUGCAACCGAUUUGUUUCACUUUUAAAUGAAAUUGUUUCCGUAAAAUAAUAUAAAUAUGUUACUCUAUCCCGCUAAUAUUUUACCAAAACAUCAUUCCAUUAGAGAAUAGUCCUUAUUAUUUUAGGGAUUUUGAAAACAUUUAUUGAAAUGCAAAGACUAUUUUUAAAAGUCAUGCAAAAUGUAGGGACCAAAUCAGCAUUCCAUUAGAGAAUUAACAGCAGGGACUAAUUUUGAUAACGGAGAUAAAAUGCGAGGAUUUUAAAAAUAUUUAAUGAAAUGUAUGGACUAUUUUUCAAAGGAGCGCAAAAUGUAAGGAUAAAAAACAUAUUUGACCAAAUCAAAAAAAUUAAGCAGUCAUAUAACUGGUGUUUUUAGUUAUAUGAGCUUAUAAGUAUGAGCUAACUUAUUGUGUUUUGCAAAGAGACUCUCCCUUAUGAAAUUAAGACGAAAUAAAAACAGGGGCUAAAUCUUAAAGGUUUUUUUAGAUUACCUUUGAAAAAUGGUGGGUAAUUUACCCACCAACCAAUCUUAAUGAGCAAUUUGUUGGUGGGGUCAAGGUAGUUUAUGGAUACCAUCUAAAACGGUGAAUGUUCGUUGGUUGGAGUAAAUUUCCCACCAUUCUUCCAUGGGUACCCUAGUUGUCACCAAUCUUAAAAUUUAAAAAUUUAUAAGGAUAAAAAUACGUUUAACCCUUAAUUUAACGAGACUUAUGCCAUAUUCUCGGGUGCAAAAGAAAUUAUGUCAUAUUUUCAUUUAUUUAGUUUUUCUUUUGUUGACAAAAUCCAUUUAUUUAGUUUUUACAAAAAAAAUAAAAAAUCCAUUUAUUUAACUGAUUUCACAGAAGAUCAAACAACUAUCGAAGGAAAAAGAUAAAUUUCAAAUAAGGAAUAAUUGAAUAAAAUAACACCACAAAUAUUGAAAAAACCCCAAAUCUCAUAUUUGAUUGAUAUGGCUUUUGAUAAAAAUUUAUAACGAGAAGACACUUCUAACCUUAUAAUGAGAGACGGAGUCAAGGGGGACAUGGGAGGGCCAUGACCUCCCGAGAGUCUCAAAGUUUUUAUUUUUAAUAGGUAUGUAUAUACAUUUUUACCUAAAAGUUAUAUUAUAUAUAUUAACAUUUGAAUCCAUUUGGUGUCGACCUAGUGGUUGACUUGAGAUCUUGAAGUGUGCUCCUCUCAAGGUCUCAAGUUUGAUUCCGUUGGUACCAAUUUCGGUGGACAAGUCCAUAUAGAGCAGCUCUGACUUAUAAGGGGCCCACACAAGUGGGCGGUGGGAUUGGUCCCCUCAGAUUAGUCGAUCCUUGGAUCGGAUACCGAGUUUUAAUAUAUAUAUAUAUAUAUAUAUAUAUAUAUAUAUAUAUAUAUUAACAUUUGCAUUUAGAUUUCAAGCAUGAAUAACCCACUUGAGUUGGCUUGGUGGUAUUAACUUGGCAUCUAUGCUCCUCCUUAAAGUUUCAGGUUCGAUUCUUACUGGUGUCAAUUUGAAUGGGCUAUUUAGCUUCUUCAAAAAAAAGAUUUCAAGCAUAAACAUCCAGGCUAGUGGUGAAGUAGCCCGCCUAUGAGCUAUGUAUCAUGAGUUCGCCACCGCUUAUAACACAACCCAACAAAACUGAUUUGUAAGGCGAGAAUUGUCCCCAUUUAUAAACACGUGUUUAUAUCAUCUUUUGUUGGUGAGACUCUUUAACAACAAAUCAUUUCAUUAUGAGCAAUUAAACUAAUCAAUUCCAUCAUUUUUUAUUAAAACAAAAUCAUAGUUGGUCAAACAGAAAAACGAUGCAAUGUUUCCAUAUUCCUUUGAACAAAGAAAAAGUGUUUGUCUAUUGUAUUUGUUUGGUUUUCUUGUCACGUGUAAACCGUGGUGUAAAAUAUAAAUUACAGUACAAAAUUGAAUAGUCGGAUUUAAUAUUUAACAAAAAAGAAUGAUUGAAUCAAUACAAUACCUCCGUUCUUAAUUAUAAGAUCCUUUUGAAAAAAAUAAUGAAAAUUAAGAUAGUGGAUAUUUGUAUUAAAUAUGUUUGUAAUUACUAUUGUUUUUAUAAUUUUAUCCUUUAAGAGAGAUAGAUGGUUUAUGUUUUCAACAUGUUAUUUGUUGCUGAUCGAAGAAAAAUAUGUAUAAUAAAUAGAGACAUGUAUGUAAAGAAAUAAUUAAUGUAGUUGAAAAUAGAAAAAGAGUCUUAUAAAAAGGGACAAAAAAAUAAUAUUCAAAAGGGUCUUAUAAUUAAGGACGGACUCGGUAUCAUAUACUCCCUCUGACCCAAAUUAUAGGGAAAAAAAAAAUCACAUUUAUUAAGAAAACUAAAACAUAAGAAUUUGGAGUAUAGUUUUUUUGUGCUUUCUUUGGAAAAAGUUUUAUAGGAAGAUGUAAAAAAAAAAUCAUUGACUAUUGGUUAUGGAAAAAAUAAAAAAGAGAGAAAAUUGAAUGUAAUUUACAUUUAAUUUUAAGAGAAUAAACAAAAAAAAUUAUUGGAAAAAGAUUUUUAUAAAAAAAUUAAGAUUAAAUAGGAUAAAAAUUUAUCUUUUUUACUUAUAUUUUGGGACAAAAAUAUUUUUUUUUACUUAUAUUACAGCACUGAGGACUAGGAGCUAAUUGCUCGGCAGCAGCAAUUUCCACUCUUACAUGCAAGAAUCUCUCUCACUCUUGCACAAGUGGACGUGGUCCACCAGCACUUAUUAAUUAAAUUGGAAAUGCAAUCACGUAUUAAUUGACAUUUUCGUGUCUAAACAAUAUUUAAAUUUUAAAAUUUGACUUGAAAAAUGAAUGCAUGGUAAAUUUUAAAAGUUUACUAUAAUAUCUACUAAUUGUAUUUCUUUAUUCAAAUAGCUCAGAUAUGUUAUUGUUUAAUCAUUUCCACGUCAACCAAGUUGAAUGAAAUUGACAAUAUAAUUUUUUUUUUCUUUUUUGUCUUAGAUGAAGUGGUAAUCUAUUGAAAUUAAACUCACAUAAAACUGCGAGGUCUCAUGUUCGAAUCCAGAUCACGACGUCUGACCUUACAAUUUCGGCAUUUGUCAGUUGAGCUAGAACUUCUAGACUAUCUUAUCAUCACUUCACUUACAAUAUAUGAAAACAAGAUACUACCAAAAUUAUUUAACUACCCAUACCUAAUUUUCUUUCAAACUUUUUCUUUUACAACUUUAGGGUUAUUUUUGUCAAAUCCACUAUCUAAACCCACUUUACUAAAACCCACUUUCUUACCUUUCUUUAUUUAAUAAUAAACUUUUCUCUCUCAUCUUUCUUUAUUUAUAAUACUAAAUUUUUCUCUCUCUUCUUUAUUUAUUUAAUAAUAAACUUUUCUCUCACCUUUAUUUUUUAAUAAUAAACUUUACUCUCUGAAUCUCACUCUCCUCUCUUAUCUUUUUCUUACCAAUUUUCUUCAUUUUUCAUUUUCUCUCUUCAUUUUCAACUCCAUUUUCUCUACUAAUUAUCAAUUCGAUUUUACCGACAAGUUUUUUUAUAGAGGAAACUAACAAGUGUUGUUGUUAUAGCAGAAUAUGAUUUUGUAUUUUACGAUAACACUAUUAUAUAAUACGUUAAUUAUGUUUUUUCACGGAACACAUAUUAAUAUUUUUCACACUCAAACAUAUUAGUAAAUAAAAUUUAUGAUUAUUUUUAUUUAUUAGCUUUUUUCAUAUCGUCAAUACUAAAACAAGAACAAUAUUAUAAUAUACUUUGAUUAAUCAUACUUCAAUUUUUUCUGUUUUUUUUUAUUUUUAAAUGUAUCACUAAAAAACCCGUUGGAGUGUACAAUUGUAACACGAGACUCAUUUUAGUAACUACAAGAGUGAUCAAUUUUAAUUAAUAUUUUUUUAAUAUCUCUAAUUAAACACCGCGAUUGCCUAAGUUUUAUUAAUAUAUCAAUAAAAUAUAUGUGGGUGUAUGGACUAUAUAUUAAUAAAAAUAUAUAUGAGUAUAUGUUUGUUUUAUGGAAAUAUAUUAAUAUAUUCUUAUUUCUGAAAUUUAAUGGGAACUAUAUAUUGAUAAAAUACAUAUUAGUAUAUGAACUAUAUUUUAACAAAAAUAUAUCUCACUAUAUAUUUUUUUUACGGGAAUAUGUUAGUAUAUAUUUAUUUAUGAAAUGUAUUUUCAUUUAUUAGCUUUUUUAAUAUCGUCAAUACUAAAACAAUAACAAUAUUAUAAUAUAUUAUGAUUAAUCAUACUUCAAUUUUUUCCGUUUGUUUUUUUUUUUUUUAAAUUGUAUCACUAAAAAAACCAUUGGAGUGUCCAAUUGUAACACGGGAUCCAUUUUAGUAAUUACAACGAGUGAUCAAUUUUAAUUAAUAUUUUUUUAAUAUCUCUAUUUAAACACCGCGACCGCCUAAGUUUUAUUAAUAUAUUCGAAAAAUAUACGUAGGUGUAUGAACUAUAUAUUAAUAAAAAUAUAUAUGUGACUAUGUGAGUAUAUGUUUGUUUUACGGGAAUAUAUUAGUAUAUUCUUAUUUCUGAAAUCUAAUGGACACUAUAUACUGAUAAAUAUAUAUGAGUGUAUGGACUAUAUAUUAAUAAAAAUAUAUCUAACUAUAUGUUUUUAUACGGGAAUAUGUUAGUAUAUGUUUAUUUGUGAAAUGUAUUUUCAUUUUUUUUAAUAUCGUCAAUACUAAAAUAAACAAAAAAAUUAUAAUAUAUUACGAUUAAUCUUGCUUCAAUUUUGUCCGUUUUUUUAAAUGUAUCAAUAAAAAACCCAUUGGAGUGUACAAUUGUAACACGGGACCCAUUUUAGUAACUAUAACGAGUGAUUAAUUUUAAUUAAUAUUUUUUAAUCUUUAAAAAAAAAAUAGUAUUUUUUAAUAUCUCUAUUUAAACACCGUGACUGCCUAAGUUUUAUUAAUAUAUUAAUAAAGUAUAUGUUGGUGUAUGGACUAUAUAUUAAUAAAAAUAUAUGAGUAUAUAUUUGUUUUACGGGAAUAUAUUAGUAUAUUCUUAUUUAUAUUGAUAGAAUAUAUACGAGCGUAUGGACUAUAUAUUAACAAAAAUAUAUCUCACUGUAUUUUUUUUACGGGAAUAUGUUAGCAUAUGUUUAUUUAUGAAAUAUAUUUUAUGAUAACAAUAUUAUAUAAUACAUUAAUUAUGAUUUUUCACGGGAUGCUUAUUAGUAUUUCUCACACUAAAACAUAUUAGUAAAUAAAAACAAUGAUUAUUUUCAUUUAUUAGCUUUUUUUGGUUACUAUUUAUUAGCUUUUUUAAUAUCGUCAAUACUAAAAUUUAAUAUAUAUUUGUUCAUAUUAAAAUUUAAUUAUUUUAUCCCCGUGAGCCUAACUCAGUUGGUAGGGAUAUCGCAUUUUAUAUGAAGGGGCCGGGAUUCGAACCCCGAACACUCCACUUCUCGACAAUUAAAUUGUGUGAGCUCUAGCCACUAAGCUACUUGACCAAAAAAUAAAAUUAAUUAUUUUAUAAUUUUUCAUCACUACCGAUCAAUAUAUACAUAUUUAUAAUUUUUUCAUCACUACCGAUUAAUUAUUAUGCUUUAAAUACUUUACAUAUUUUCACUAUGGACAAAAAAAAAAAUUACUAUACCAAACACAGCCGAGACGCAACACGCGACGGAGUUGCGACCAUACAGCGCGGCGAAGCCGCACUAUCCGUGUUGUAGCACGGAUAUCUCGACCAGUUCUAAUAAAAUGCGAUAUAAUUAUCUGCCACGCAUCUCCGAAUUAUUGCUAUAAGUUAUGCAAAUGUCAUUGUCAAAAACAAAAUUAUGCAAUUGCAGUUUGCAACUCAUAGUAGAAAAGAUAUAUACUACUCCCUCCGUCCCUGAUUAUAAGACCCUUUUGAGAAUUUUUUUGUUCCUUUUUAUAAGACCCCUUUGCUAUUUUCAACUACAUUAAUUAUUUCUUUACAUGCAUGCCCCUAUUUAUUAUACAUAAUUUUCUUCAAUCAACAAUAAAUAUCAUGUUGAAAACAUAAACCAAUUCUCUCUUAAAGGAUAAAAUUGUAAAAACAAUAGUAAUUACAAACAUAUUUAAUACAAAUAUCCACUAUUUUAAUUCCCGUUAU
rnacentral:lncRNA from 1 species